rnacentral:lncRNA from 1 species
CGAGCGAGGCGUUGCCGUCGCUGCAGCGCGGCCGAGUGCGAGCAGGGGGACGCGCGCCGGCCGGUGGUAAGAUGCACGCGCGCCUGUAUUACUCCACUCCACUCCAUUGAAGCUAGCUAUUUCAGUCAGUCCCCCCAUCUCCAUCUGUAGCUUAGAUGCAACUCGUCUCCACGGAUUUAUUUACAGGCGUCUCCCUUCUUCACCAAGGUUGCCACCUACUAGAGAGACUUGUACUGUAGUAGAUGUGUGCAGUCUCUAGGGCUACAUACACAUACAGGGGCGCCCAGGAGUUCAUGCCGGGGGCGGGGGAUAGAUGGGAAAACAAGCUUACCCUUAGUAGUCUACUCUAGGUAACCUAAGAGCAACCCAAUCCGUCAAACAAAUUAAGUAAGAAGAAGAUAAUAAAAUCAAUGAUAAUGCUCGUCUCCUACGCUCCUGUGUUGUGUGUGACGCUCGUACAUCUUUCUGAUUUCAAGACAACCCGAGCGAUUUCUUGUGCAAAUAGACAACUGAGUGAGUUUUUACAGUUUGCUUCUCUAGCAAAGGUUGUUUAUCAGGUCCCGCAGCUUGAAGCUGCAGAUAAUUCGUCGAAACGAACAUAUGGAUAUGGCAGGUCUUAGGAGCCUACUCGUGCAGCUAGAUGGAAGAACAAACUUAGACAUCGAACAAACUUAGUCCACCUGAUUGCUAGCUCUCACUGCUCCUGCAACACCUGCAGACCUUUUUUUUUAUAUAUAUGGAUAAGCUAUGGAUAGUCCACUCCCAUCAAAGCGCCACUUUUUUUUACAUGGUUGGAAUGUCUGAUGUGUAUGGUAAGUUUGGAGGAGGUAUUGAGCAAGUUACAUUUUCUUUCUUUAGCAGUGUAUGGUAAGUUUGGAGGAGGUAUAGUGCAUAGCAGAGCAGAGCAGGGGAGGUACAUGCUUUUUGUAACUGCUGCUAGUUAUUUCCUCAUGAAUUUUGCAUUCCAAGUUCUGUUACUUUGAACAACUAGUUUUAUCAACUAACUGGGGGCGUGCAUUUGUUCUAUUCAGCUGGCCGCAAACAAAGAACAUUGUGCUCCUAAAAAACUACUAUCUUCAGCAAAGCUAGCCAACCAGGGACCUAGAAUCUCCAUCACUCCAUCACCUCGAGUCUCAAGCAAUGGGCAGUGAACUGCUCGCAGCAACGGUUGCACCACCAGCGGAGCAUCCCUUGAUCCCGUCCACGACCACUACCACCACUACCGCCGGCAACGGAACCAUCACAACAAUCACCACCACCACAUGCUCCUCCGCCGCCAAUGGCACCACUACCACUUCCACCACUACCGCCGGCAACGGAACCAUCACAACAAUCACCACCACCACAUGCUCCUCCGCCGCCAAUGGCACCACUACCACUACCACCACUACCGCCACCACGACCACAACAAGAACCACCACAAGCACCUCCAACGCCACAACCAUUUCAUCCCACUGUGAUGAGGAGUUCGAAAUUUGAUGGCUGUGCCCAUCUGUAUAAUAUUGCUGGACCUCCUUCUUUGGUUGGUGAUGAUGGGAGCACAGGGCAUGAAGUUGAAGCUUCUCACUGAAGCUUGCAUUUGUUUGUCAUAUGAGGAAAUUGCUGAAAUCUGAGAUGGGCUCUAGGCCCAUAUUGCAAUUUCUGAAAAAUCUCUAAGGGCCCAUGUGGGUUAUAUGGCACUAGGUGUAGUGGGAAGUUUAGUCCCACCCCGGAAGUGGAAGGAGAGUUGGAGUGGUUUAUAAGGGUUUCUCUUCUACAUGCUAUUGGAGCUUGAGAAGAGAAGCGGCCCUCGCGCACUCCUCCUCCGCCGCCCGCCUCGCCACGCCACGCCACGGCACGGCACGGCACGGCACGCCUCGUCACGACGCGCCGUGGGUUGCGGGAUUGAGCCGAGCCGAGCUCACACCUACCAUGUCCACCGACGCCGACCGUGCCGCCGCCGAGAAAGCUGAAGCCGACAAGAAGGCCGCCGAGGACGCCGCUGCUGCCACCAAAGCCGCGGCCUCUGCGUGGCCUAUUGGAGGGUAUAACUCGUUUAUCCCGCUCCUGAUUAUUUUCAUAUUGCCUCUGAGUUUGAAGGGUCUAAAGAGUGAUGGUGAGUCGAGUAGCAUGAAUUGUCUAUCCAAGGGGUCGCUAAUGCGUUAUUUGUAUAGGAUCUCAGUUAUUAUUGUCAGCUAGAUCUACAUAAUAUGCUUCACGCGGAGCCCUUACUUGGUUCGAUUGGCAUUUUUCUUAUCAUCCAUCCACAUAGGGAGAAAGGCCAAGGGCCCAGUGGAGUGAUAAAAUGAACUAUCCAAAUUAAGCUAAUCCCGUGUCCAAGUUCAAACCCCACAUAGCCACUCUUCUUGAUCCCCCACCAUCACUUGAACCGAAGAAUCAACCCGUCAAAAGUUAGUACGCACUGCUAGAUCCUGGAAAUAGCUCAUUAUCUGGUAAGCACACGAGGAUGCAUCACAUAUAUAUGUGACAUCCGCAACCUCAGAUUUGGGUUUAGCACUUACCUGUUUCCUUCCAUCCAACCUGGGAAGGGAUCCCUCCAUGUGCUCUCUAUGACACUUGGCCUGAUUGUUACCACCGGUAUCUCUCCUCGCAUGCAGUUGAUGACCAUCUCGCCCAUGGCCUUUGUGAACACAUAAGUGUCUUGCCAACCAUAGAGUUUGGCCCUAUGAAUAAAUAAAUUGCACAAAUCAAAUACUUCAUGUGUGUAUUCGUAUCUACAGACAUGAGAAUGUAACAGGGAAAUACUAGAAUACCUCGACUACCUAACUCUUUCAUUUCUUGAGUAACAGAAGCAGAGGCAGAAGAAUGCCUUCUGGAGUCAAAAGCCAACUUGAUCUCAGCCUCGAUAUCCAACACGGUAUUCUGAUGUGCCGAAAAAUCUGAGGAACCUAUCCCUUUUGUUAUGGUAUCCCCUAAGCAAAAUGGCUUCUCUAGUAUGAAACCUUGCCUCUGCCCAUUCACAUAUGCUGUUUGGCCAAAAACAUGACAUGUAAACAUACUGCUAAAGCUUGUUUGUAAGCUUUUGAGAUUAAUAGAAACAGGUUACCAUUUGAUUUCGACCACAAGAAACUCUUAUUUGGCAUUCUGACCUGUUGAUACUUGCAAGAAGAGCUUCAGUCUUCGAAACCGCUGCGCGAAACUCAUUAUCCGGAAUGGCCCCACGGUGUUGAUGUCUAGUGCUACAUCAUACCUGUAAGUUGCAAUACUUUUAUUGCUAUGGAAUGUGAACUUACACAUUUAGUAAUGGAAGCAAUCCUUGGUGCAAGACUAGUAUAGCUUCACGAACCUCUCAUCAAAAGUGGUAUUUGCUGCAGAGUUUACGAUAACAUCCACUUCUUCCGCGAUCUCUUUGGCUAACUCAGGAGCAAUGCCAAUGUAGGCUUCCCUGAAAUUACCAACGACUGGAACCUGCUUGCUUAAUACAAAGCUGUGGUAGUUUUUCCCAUGGAUUUCCUGUAAACAUCUGAACAACUCAGUAUCUUCUACCUGUAUUGCAGACGGAAAAUAUGGUCAUUUGCAUGAAGAACAGAAAGUAGUCCGAAGUAAUCAUCAUACCUCGUUCUUCAAUCUUUUCAUGGCUGCUUCAUUGUCCUUGGCCUUGAUCAACACGUAUAUUUUACCAACAUCAGGAUUUGUCCUUAAAAUGGGAUCGAUAAGAACUGAUGAUCAGAAUCAUACAAAGUAGAAUGGAAGAACAAAGGAAGGAAGUCAGGUAGCUUAGAGCAAGACAAAGGCAGAAUGGAAGAACAGCCUAAAAGUGGGGGGCCAGACAGAAACUGUCUCACUCAAACUGGCAUUUGAAAAUGCUACCCGCCCUUCCCCUAUUUCUGCAUUUCAUUCUUCUAUUCCUUCUGCUUGCUUUUCUAGUUAAGCUGCUCAUAAACUAGAUCCAUAACUUACUCACUCAGAUAUUUACUAGAGCUUGGCAGUGAAUGAAGGAGACUCCGAAUCCUAUUCAGAUUGCACGGAGGGCUUGGAAAGAGGCCUCUCGUGUAAGAUAAGAUUCCAUUCCCUCCUAUCGAAAGGCUCCGGUAGUAGAGCUCAAUUCGGAAUGUUGAUAUAAAAAAGGGCAGAUACAGAGAGUUAAGGAACAGAUGUUGUUGAUCAAGUCUUUGGAACGUAGUUAGUCCCAUCCCUUCCAUCCGGCCACUAGUCUAGUUCGGUCUCUUUAAGGAGAGAAAUCCUUUCUCUUCUCUUGCUCUUGCGGCGGACACAGUGAUUCUUCGUUCUCUGGUUGAUGGCUUUCAAAAGUAAAUUCCAGAAAGAGCCAUUUGAUCCCCAUCAAAGUCUGCAUUGAAACCCUUACACACUAAUAUACUUGAUACUCGAUCUAUUUCACCGUACUUCUACUUCCUAACAUUAAGAAAGUUUAAAACAAGGUCCUUCAAGAAGAAAGGAAGCACAUGCUUGAGACCAUUACGAUUCCUGUUAGUGAUGGUGCACUUGCUGCUAAUGUUAGCUGUAUUCAGUCUCUGAGUGGUCUACCUGUUGCUGCAUCAUAACCGGCUGACUCCUCUACUGGUUGCUGCUGGUUUAUACCUGCAUUCCAAUCCGGUUUGAUUUAGAGAGAAAUCUCAAUCCAGCCUCAAUAUUUUGGAUUGAUCAGACCGCCUAUUGUAGAAGAGAUUGCUUGCUAAAAAUAGUACCGCAUUUGUGCUUAAGAAAAGGCUUUCUUGUCCGGGGUCUAUAUCCACUUUUAAUACACCACGCACCCCACUACCAAAAACUUCUCUUUCAAUUCUAAACAAAGAGAAAGCUCAGGCGGCUGCUCAACGAGGAGGUUCAUGCUCGUUAACUUACACUUACUUUUAACACUUCUCUACCAGUUCUCUCUCAUCGUGGGCCAAGCAGUUCUCUCUCAUAGAUAAGAAUAUCCUGCUCUUAGCACCGGUUUUCACUUCGUGUAGCAGCUUCUUCUUCUUUUGUCUACUCAAACACUUCAUCCAUGAGAACCAAGUUUUGAUCAAUGAUAUAUUCAAAAAGUAAGAGCUACUCUAUUAAUCUACAUACCUUGUCUCCGGCCACCAUGUUUUCUCCGAAGGGUGAAGGCGGAUUCUCUGAACUUAAAAUAAGGGCGAAGGAUACAUACAAUAUGCCGGGUCUAAAGUGAAGUAGUACAGACACAGGAAAUCAGAGAAAAACUUAGAGAGUCUCCAUAAUCUAGACUUCUCGGUUUCUUAAUCGGUGUCUAUCUUACUAAGAUACUUGUGCAGCUUAAGGUGCUGGUGCUCCACCCCGCUCUAAGAAGUAUGACUGUGAUUUGCCAAUACCCAAAUGGGUAGUGUACUGCUCGCUCCCCUUCUUCUUAAUUCAGACUUGUUUGCGCACACAACCUUCCUAUAACUUUCUGACCUGGAUCCAACCAAAGAAGGAAGAUGUAUGGCCUCCCUCGAACAAAAGAAGGAAGUAUGGGAGUUUACCGGUAGGCAAUGACCACAACCGAAGUAAAGUGCUCAGCUCAAAGAAAGAAGGUGGUGGGGGCUUCGAAGAGUGAAUAAGUUCGUUCGCAGUGAUGUGUAAUCUCUUCAAAUCGAGAGAAGAGGUGUAAAAAAGAAAUGCUUUUAGGCAGGCUUACUUGCUUAGUAUGUAUUUUUUAUACAAUCAAAGACCAAGGUCGUACGGAUAGCAAUUCUGGACCAUAGGCAUAGCAGCACAUAGGUAUUCUCUCUUCUUUCUCAAUUCAGGGAGGACACUAUCUUAAUUCUUGUGAAAAGGCAGAAGCAAGUGAAAGGGCAGCAGUAUUAUAUGAGUUCUAAAAAGAAGGGCGAAAAAAAAGUCAUGUAUGAUAGUGGUCAAAAGCCUUCCAUAGAAGGGAAUAGCAACCUGACUAGAAAUUCAUAGCUGACUAGCGUACGAACGAGUUGGUCAGGCUAUGAAUGAAGGCUACUACUCUUCAGGAAGAAGGUACUAAUAGCUCGCUCAGAGGUUCAGUCAAGCUCCUCACUCUUGGUCUGGCGGGGCAUAUUAGAUAUAGUAGUGGUGUUUUGAAAGCUUCUUAUUUUUUCUAAUACUAUAGUAAGAGUAGGUCAGGUACAGCUUCUUAUACUAGGGAUGCUUUUUUGAAUCAUUGAAAAAGCUUUCGAUAGUCUUAGUAAGUUUCAGAAAGGAGAAUACCAAGGUUGAAUCGAAGAUAAAAGUCAAGCAGGUCACACCGCCGAUGAGUUGUGUAGGAAGGAUUGCUUGUCAAGCUCUUGCGGAAUUUGGACUUAUUAUUUUGACUUAUGGCUCUGAGAAAAACCCUUUUCUAGAUUAGGCUUUUAGAUCUACGAAUUACGAGAGAGAUCUCCGAAAGUAUAAGCGAGAUGCUCUUACACCAGAAAGAUAGUAUAAGCUAGUUCUCACUAGCCGGGCCCUUACUCCUACUACUCACCAGCCGAGCCCUUACUCCCAUCUACUACUUCUUAUUAAAGCUGCAAGUGCAGAGGGGAAUUUCGCAAGCUAGGAGGAAUAGAAAAUCCUAACUAAGAAACAAUCAAUCAGUCCACUAAGUCUGUUAAGUAAGAGUUAUACGAAAUACUCUGAUUCAAUGUAUGAGUGACUCAAUCCCAAAGGUCAAUCCAGCCAGCCGAUUUUCAACAACAAAGGAGUUCACCGUGGAAAGAUAAAGUCUAAUGACAGACACUGGUAAUUCUCUCACUGGGCCAGCCACUAGAAUCAGUCAAUGAAAAAGCAAGCAAGGAGAUGUCCUCACUGGACAUUUAUCCUAUUUGUGAAAUCCUUUCUAUGUUUCUGAGACCCGGAAACCUGUCAAGUAAGUAGGGAUUUCUUUCUCCCCAUCCAUGGUUUCUUUUACUUUUUUAUAGGCGUCCGGCGCAUGCAUACAACCAUUCCUUCUUCUCCUCGGAACGUCAGGUCGGUCGGAAAGAAAGCGCGGUGUAGCUGGCAUCAGCAUCUCUUGUUAGGUUCGCACGCACAAGGGUGGUGGGUAGGUCUCUUUACGUGUCCCGCGAGGCUUUGAUCUUUCCAUGUAUUGGCGCAUAGAGAUUUGACUGAGCAGUUGUAUUUCUUUUAUGCACAUUUACUUAUGUUGAUAGAGGGAGUGGGAUGAAAAACGCAUAGUAGGAGAUUGCCUACCUACCACGUCUCGUAGGAGACCCAAACCUCGCAUACGGGUGGACCGAGUCGGGUGAGUAGGCUGGAUUGCUAAGUUCUACCUCCGUUUGAUCCUCUACCGGCUCUAGUGGUCAUAUAAAGGAACACAAGCGGGUAACCACUUAGGGAACUAGGACCCGGUAUCUGCUGAUUCCACUGGAGUGACUUACUCUCGGAGGGAGCACCGGUUCUUGAAUCCGUUAGCAGUACACGUAGGCGCGCGAGCACUACGAUAUCAGAACUUACUUUCUUAUUCCAUUUUCGUGCUUAAACAACAAUUCGCCCGUGGGAUGAUCAGUGGGGUUGAUGCCCUGUAAUCAUACAUAGUUGGACUUGUGCGUGCCUUGCUUGUACAAUCAGAAGCUCCAGGAGGAACCUUCCAUGGAGGACAGGCGGUGAGCUCUGGAUCCUAGGACUGUGACACGAUGCAACACUUCCCAUUUUAGGCGGAGCUUGCUUUGGGACUGUGGAUACACGACCUUUUUGAGGACAAUGUCGCCUUGGAGAAUACUCGCUCUUUAACUCGGAGUCGUAGAAGCUAGUGUUGUCUUGCUUGCUCGAAACGUGCUUGAGGAGUGAUGUGUCUCGUAUUCAAGCGACGUUGCUUCGGAGAGCGACCACCAAGGAGCAUCUUGAAGUGGAGUACGAUGACUUCUGCUCCAAGGGAGAAAGGUAUGCGCUUGUGAGGCGGCUUUUGCUUGCAGAGUUGCUUUUGAAGAUGAUCCACCCCAUUUUCUCAGAAGAGAAGUCAGAACAUGUGUUUUUCACGACCCGGACGAUAGAGAGCACUUUCCAAUAAGCAUUACAGACUGAUCACAUGGUACUCUCUCUACGCCCAAUGGACCUUCCUCUACUACGCCAGGAAGAAAAGCUGGAUCGACGUGUUAUAAGCCGUCACCAUAGCGGAGAGAAGCUAGAUGGCUUAUCGAUUGCUAGCUGUCAGCAUAGGUAGUAUUUUGGUACCAACAUGCCAAGAUAGCGGAAUUCUUCACAGGGAAACAACAUCUUGAACUUGGAAAUGACCGUUUCAACGAAAACUGUCUAUUUAUGAGAAAUGCUAUGUUAUGUUUUUUCCGCCCGGUGAGUAGAUACGAAUCGAGGUAUUGAUCUGUUUUGCUACUAGGAGGGGGGUUCGGGUACACGCCAGCUCUUUCUCAUAUAGCUAAAAAAACAAGUGAUUUUGUCUUGUCAAAGUAAAAUACUCGGGGCAAUCUACUCAUAUCAAGCGGGUCUUAGCGGAGUCCAAUUUAUCAAAGUUUCAUUGUGACCUUUAUUCUGGUUAGGGGCAAGCAAGAAAGGGCGAAUACGGGAGUUUUAUUGUCUUUCUGGGCAACUUUCCCAAGUCGUUCCACAAGAGAUAAAAAGGAUAUAAUGGUGAUGAAGACAAAGCGCAUAGAGCGCAUAUAGUUACCUUUUCAUUUAAUGAAUUUCGUAUAGAGAAGCAAGUUCUCAUAUCGGAUCUGGAGAUGCUUUCCUGUUGGUUAGUGGUCCUACCCGUAUCGAUCCUUCUAUUGAGAAGCACCAUCUGGAAAAUGAAUUACCCGCAGCUCGAGCAGAACUACUCCGAAAGUCAUCUUAAGUAACUUAGGUCACCUAAAGUCACACUAGUGCCUCCAUCUCAAGGAAUCUAUAAAAGAUACCUGAAAGCCCCAAGAAGAUAUGGAUGCGAUAAACUCUCUGAGCCGAGAGGUGAAAGUUCCGGUGGUGAUGGUGGGCGGGCCAGUCGAUCCGUACCGAUGCUUACGUUCGGCUUUGCUCCUAUCUUAGCAAUCCGAACUUACUAUUCAAGAUGGGCUCCUGGCAGGCUGGAGCCACCUACUCAAUGCGAUCUUCCGAAUGGAAUGUAUCAAGAGCGUUCUUCCUUUGGUCACUCAGGUUAAGGAAACUAUUCCUACUGUACUCGAGUCGAAAGCUGUUAGCGCUGCAUGCGCAAGGUUCCCGUUCACUUCGUAUUACUUCCGGGCUGGCCAAGCCGACCGAACGGAGAAAACACCCGAUCCGAUAGUGGAAGAAGAGAAACUCGAUGCAGCUGCCUGGUCAUAGAUCUUACCCUAUGUAUCUCCUGGGAACUUCACACCCACACAAUAAAGAUAUUGGGAAUGGAGACUUCGAAGACGAAAGUGAUAGUAGCAAGCAGGCUUAUCGGCGGGCUAGGGGUCUUUAACUAACACAAGCCUGAGAAGGAAGCGUUCAUGAAUAUCAAUCAUUAAGAAAGUUGUCCUUGUUUGUGCGUUAGGUAUUACAAAGGACGGAAAGAGAAGGAAGAAGUGUUGGUCAGGGUAUAACAUGGGUCCCUACCAGGAAGGCCAAAUUAUGCUGUCUAUAAUUACAUCGGUAGGACUUUUCCCAAAACCUAUAACUGGGUGUUAUAGCUGAGUGUGUUUGCUUCAACGCUUGGAUUUAUCCAUAGCUGAGGCGAGCAAAACUCCCCUCUUUGUUGUCUCUGGCCAUCUCGGGUUAGGUAUGCGUUAGACACCAGAAAUGGGUUGUAUAUGAAUAAGAAUUUGGACGCGUGCGGAAACACGUUCGCUCUACUUCGGCCUAGAACUGAGGGGCCGACACAAGACCUAUUUCGUUUCGGGGUGGACGUCUAGUUCAAACAGUUGAGGGGAAGCCAAGAGAAGACGCUAUUGGCAAUUAAUCAAAGGGUUUUGUUUGAUGCGAGUAAGUAAAUUUAUCGUGAAGAUCUGGCCAAGCUAUCGUCGGGUGGAAAGGUUAUUCUUUGCCAGUAGUGCCCUCUGUAGGAAGAAUCGUAAAUGCCGGAGGACGCGUUCAACAUGAAUUGUCACUGUGGAAUGAAAUCACCUCUCGAAUCGAGCAAGAAAUGACUAUUUAUUUGAUAAUAGCGAAUUAUCACAAAAACAACCAAGGGUCCAUCGACCCGAUUGAAACUGUCUUCACUGCGUUGAAUCGAAGGGAACUACUAUAGAGAGUGGAAUAAGCUACAAGGCAUAACACUAUGAGCUUUUCUUUAGAUAACCUUAAUCACACCAGCUUUUCCUCAUGGGAGGGUAAAGGAAAUAGGAAUGUAUGAAAUCUAUCCCAAUAAGAAAUGCGGAAGGUUGUCAACUAGAAACCUGUUAUCACUCUCUUCUUCCGAUCGUCCCAUCAGUUUCUUGUAAGCCUGCUUCCUCCGAUGAUCGGUUGCGGCUAACUUCUCUCUCUUCAUCUCUCUGAGUUCGCUUCUUGGUAGUAGUUACCCCUGUCAGAACCUUUGUCUACUCUUUCGUAUAAAUACGCUGAUCUGCCAGCCAGCCGAAAGUAGAGAACCACAUUGUAUGAUCUGGGGAAACUCUCUGUUAUAGCAGCGAUUUCUUAUUCAUUCAGGGCGCCCGUUCAUGUGUUUUUAAAGAAAGGAUACCUUGUGAUUCCAGAUUUCAAUAGAGAUUCGAUUCCUCACAUCUAAGGGAAGACAGACACAAAUGCACAGACACAUUAUCUGGGGGUGUCACCGUUUGCAUCGUAUCAGUAUCAUAAGAAAAGAUUGAUUGUUGUGAGUGAUUUUACUACCCUUCCAGACUUAGCAGGUAAUGAAGCUGCUGACGAGGGAGGAAAUGUCCGUUGAAAAUAAAGCGAACCAGUGGGGCUUAAAAGUCACUCUUUGAAUAGUUUUUCAGACCGUUAAGUUGUCAAUCUUUCCAAUGAUGAGGCUCCAAAGUUUAUUACAUUUCCUGGUCUGCCGAGGACAGCACUAGAUUGAUUGCUCACCGACUUUCAUUCAGAUACCAACCCAUCUUUUUAUCAAAAGCAUGGAAACUAUCUAAUCGAAGAUAGAAUUCACGCCUGUGAAAAGUAAGCAAUUUCAUCAUUUUCCUUCGCAACACAGCUCACUCAAUUGUAGAGAUACCGAACAGUUUGAGUGAUCGAUCGACCUUGUCGCACGAUGAGCCCAUUCUCUCUCUUCCAUCCCGCCUUCUGAACCGAACCCUGGAGAAAGACUUCUUGAACAGAACAGAGCAGCAAUUCUAGAAACUUCCAUUUUCCAUUGAUCUGGGCGUUGCUAUUAAAAGUGGGUCUACCCGCCCCGGCGUGACUCACACUUGACCAACCACUUCUAUCUAAGAAAAUACUUAGGUAGGGUCAAUCUCCCUUCGGGGUUUACGCGUCCUAGUCCGAACCAUUGGAUCGAUCAGAAGAAGAAAGGCAAAGGAAUUGAAAGGUAGAGUAAGAAGCAUCGCCCAGCAGAGUGAUUGAGGGAGUCUUCCCCAGCCCAAUGGUCUUCUUUUUGUUUUUCACUCUCCUAUUUGGAUUUUGGAAGAGUUCUACUACUGUUUCAGUAGUUCUAAGACCCUUCCUUCCCUUUUCAAGUGCUUGCUAUCCCUCUCGCUCUACCCGUCCAGAGGGAGCCCUAGUUUCAGCAUAAUAGCCUCGUUUUGAAGCGCUCGCUUCAUAUGGACGUACGUCGAACAAAGGAAUCUUAUCGGCAUACCCACCUGCUGGGCGUGGUUCACUUGACCGACCAACCGACCCAAUAGUAGGAGUAGGCGGCUGGCUUCUUAUGUGAAGAGAACGGAUGGAGAAACAGAUGCGCGAAAGAACUAGUCCCUUGGAAAGCUUCGUUUUCCUAACCCAACCUAAGCAUAAUGAGCUGGUUAUUUGAGUAUCGAAGCUGUCGAGUGUUCCAUUCUUUCGUAUGUAGACCCCAGCGAAGAAGGAGAAUCAGAAAUGGAACUAGUCGAACACGCAUAAUAAGAUACCGGUUUUAGGCAUAACCCCGGGUUAAAUAAAGUAGUAAAGGAGCCCAAUCUAGCUAAAGAGGGGCUUCUCCGCCACCAUAACCAACUAGCUACGUAGAUGAAUUAUCCUUGCGUUCAGCUAUCAAACCCAUCCACUAGAGCUUGAACCCAUGCUUGCUCAAACCAUAUGUUUUCUCUUCUAACGAGCAUGGCUUCCCUGUCACCUACACUAGAGACGUCUCAACAGUUUAGUUUAUUCAUAAGCCUAGUACACAAGGAGGGUUUUAGCACGCACUAGCUGUACUGUAGUAUGAUCUGGUAUCAGCUGCUGUCUCUCCUUGCUAUUAUAGUUUAGUAUAGGUCGCCUCAAACUCAAACAAAAACGGGUGCACAGUUCUACUGCGUCUUAUCGAAUAGUGCUUUUGAGUCAAAGUGCAAUCACCAUUUCAUGUACACCAUCUUUGUCAAUAUCUGCAAUUACCUGUAGAAAAAAUGUGAAAAACAACUCAAGGUCAUUUACAGACCGAACAGCAAAAUAGGAUCGAUCGCGAAAUCAAAGAAAUCUUUCACCUCACUUCUAAGAUGAGCUAGCGCUCGCAUCACCUUUCGAUAUCCUAUAUUUUGGAUAUUCAACAAGUAGCAUUUCCACGGCAUUCUUUAGAUGGAUUUCACUGCCCCUCAUCUACUCCUCAGCUGGGUAUCUAUUUAUCAAUACGGUGCUUUAGUGACGGAUUCUGGCAUCGCAUGGAUCUCUUAAUCAAAUAGGGUCUCCCGGAUAGGUCAAAAUGAAUGUGACACCCGUGAUAGGACCACUACUGAUUAAACUAAGCCCUUUAAGGAAGGCGUACGGAAAACACUUGGACUGAAGCAUGAGCUGGUUCAAACCACUAUACCUGAUAUAUCACGAAAUCUAUACUGGAUUUUCAGCGCUGCGCGCAAGGUCAGGAAGAAGAAGAAGUGUGUGAGAUUGUAAUAAGUGUGAUUGGAGAAGCUUUUAAAGAAGUGGAGGAAGUAGAAUGGAUAAAUUCUAUCAAUUUCUAGCUCUCAUAGCUGAAUGAAGAAAUAGAUAAUGGGAUGCAUUAAUAGUUUCAUCCAAUUCCUAGCAAGUCAAGUACAUAAUAGUAUAAUUGAGUAUUUAGAAAAGCCUGUCUAAGACGAGUCGGUGUUGUAUGCUGAGUGUGGUUUCUUCCUGUUUCCGGAGUAGCCUCUAUAUAUUGAGUUUAUAGGAUGGAGUCCAUAUCCCUCCUUUUUACUUCAUGGAUCUUGUCAGCAUACAGGAUACUGUCGUAAAGAAAGCGGGUAUCUUAGAAUAUGGAUCAGCAGCGGAUACCAGAUUGGUAAAAACCUGCUCAAAAAGCUAGAGUUGAUGGUUUCGGGAAAGCUAAGCUAAAGCAAGCAGUAAACUAGUGGGUGCAAGCACGUUAAUGAAAAAAAACGUGAUAGAAAAUCCUACCGUUAGCAGCGACUGCGACACUUCGUAACAGCUCCUUAGAGAUCAAUGUCUUAUUGGUAUUUGCUCGAUUGCAGGCAAUAACGUUAGUAAAUUAGGUGAAUGUACGUAAAUCGAGGUACACGAGUCUAGCCAGGUAUAGGUAGAAAAGGGGUAUAGUAGGUCUCAUGGAAAGGGAGAUAGUGGGACGAAUAGUUCAUCGUGCAAGUGUUACGAAUAGAUAGGAGUCUCGACUCCGUCCUUCGAAAAGAAGAUGGUUCGCGCUAAGGGUGACUAAAGGCAGAGAAUUCUGUACGCCAAGAAGAAAAGAAAGUUUGUAGGGGUGAGAAUGAACUUUCAAACCCUUUUCUUGCCCCUAUCCUUUUUGCUUUCGAUAACUUCUAUCGCUUCCUAAUCAUAUGAGUCUAGUGCAACAUACUACUACUAAUAUGGAGUCAUAUUCUUCUUAAGCCUCCUUUCCCAGAUCCAAGUUCCGAAUCCCAGGGAGAGAUCAAGACAAUGUAGCAGGGUUGGCAAGCAUACCUGUAUCACUGAGCAAAUCCAAAGCAUACUUUCCCUCUAAAGAGUGAAGAAAAAGACUUGGUACAGCUAGAAUACCGAGUGGAUGUGGAAUCCUACUUGAAUUCCAGUCAGAAAAGGAAACUCGAAUCCGGAACUUGCUUACUUCGGCUUGAUCAGAUACUGGAAUCCAAUCGGGGAACUUGGUUAUUGACCCACUAAUCUUUCCCUCUUUCGAGUCCAAGUCUCAAGAGGGCGCUUAGGCCGGGCCCUUCUCCAGAGUUCCGAUACCGAUAUCACUAUUUCAAUUAGUUGAUUGAUUUCCCUUAGAAUUUCAUUCCUCCUCAAGUCCCAGUUUCGGUCAAGUAGUGGCAAGUAUCAUCUGUAUCUGGCAGAUAAGCUUUCACAUGCAUGAAUUGAACUACCGAGAUCUUUUCUUACUUGGCAACUAGAGCCUCCCCUUCGGGAUUCGAGAUUGAAGAAGAGGAAAACUGCUUCUAAAGGGAACUCGAAGUCCUAGACCUAGAAUGCGGGUACCGUUCCGGAUUCCCCAGGAUAACCAGAUCACUCAACUGCUGAAUCCUUCCUGAAAUCUCUGUCUAUCUAUGAGAUUUUUUGUUUUUCGCCACGUGCAGAUCUACUUUGUCGUGCAAUCGGAUCUCACCUCUUGCUCUCCUCAUUCCACCUGUGAAAUAGAAUUCAUUAAAGAAGAAUGCCAGUAUCGAAGUAAAGUAAACCAUUCGAAUAGCUAACCAUUCACUGCCUUCGCCCGGUAAGAAAGUGGAAACUGCGUGGCAUGCUUCUUGCUUUCUUUGCAUCCCUAGCACACAACUUAGUAGAUAGUAGGCACACAACUCCGCUAAGAGCUCAUCGAACUUGAGUUGUAGAGUAAGACCACAGCUCGAUAUGGUUCAUUUCAGUACUCAUUCACUCGGUAUGGUUCACCACAUGCCUGUGAUCUCUCUCAAGCUAGGUUUGGUAUCGGUAUCGGAGAAGUCCGUCAUUGAAUUGAAGUGGUAGAGUGGUAAGUGGGCGUACGGUCUAUGUAUUUCCUAUCAGUGGCAUUAGUUCCUUUUCAUUCUCUAGAUAGAUGGGCAGAACAAGCUUCUCUUUAUAUUCUAUUCUAGAAAGGAUCAAUUAGAUUCUCAUCUCCUAUUUGUUUGAGCCAUUCAUUAUAGUGGUGGUGCCGGGAAGGCAGCUUAGCACUCUAGUCCUUUUGAGUAAGGAAUUGUAGCAUGGGCAGGCAAUCUCUUCGAUUGAUUCCCCUCCAGGAAUUACUUGAAUUAAUUAGCCGGCCCACGGAGUGAAAUAUCGAACUUAACCUAUAAAUAACUAGUAUCUCAAAAACCAAAUAAAAGGCUUUCUUUUAAGCUUGUUAAUGGAAUUCCACAGGAGUCAAGCGCUAGCAAAGAAGAAUUGGAAAUCAGUCGCUUCCCUUCUGGACUCAAGUCAGCAGAAGAGUGAACUUCAUAUUAAUAGGUAAAUCCUACAUCAAGCGUAAAGGAAGUACAGUACACUUAUUUGGAUUCGUCGUGAAACAAAGCUAUUGUCUGGUUUCUGGUCCUGGGUGGAUUAUUUCUUAUCAUAUUGUGAGGCGGAUCAUAAGAUUGCAAAUUAGGCGGAUCAUAAGUAGAUGCUAUUUUACAAGGGUGGGCUUUAGCUGAGAAUCAAAAGUACGAUUCCCCAGAAACACAUUCCCUUUCAAGCUGAGCUGAGACGUAUCCGGCACCUUUACUUGGUCCAGUGCUGCCUCCGGCACUUCUUUCUCUUUCUUGUGCGAACAAACUAGAACCUGCCAGCCCAGCCCUAUCUUCCGAAUCAGAAUGGACUAGUGAUUUUGAUCUAUUGCCAGAGCCCUAUUCUUAUGAUGGAAAGAUCCGUGCUCACAUAGCUGUCAGAAAGUUUUACUUGCAUCUAUUUCAACUAGACGUGAGGUCUCUCCACGGCAAAAACGAGGAGGAGGAGAUCCACAUUUAGAGGGCGAGGGGUUCGAAACUCGGGGAGGUCACAUAUGGUUGUGGAAGAAGAGCUUGUACGGGCUCCGAGGUCAAAGAAAUUCGACAAGUUCUUGGUCGAUCGAUACCUUUCCAUCCCGGGGCAGAUCUCCAGAUCCGAUACGAGUGUAGAUACUUUACUCCCUUCUUCCUCAGUGAGUAACGUAUAAUGUCUAGAACAAAGGAAGUGAGUCUAGCUCCACUCCGAGGGACAAGACGGAAAUCUUCUACCGAUGCCAACUGCAAGGCGUGCUUUCCUAUGAACCGAUUCUUAGACUACAGAUCUCAUCCCAACGAUCUACUUGUACGAAAGAAAGAGAGAUGAUCUACUUGCAGCUACUGUUUGUUACCGCUGAACAUCUGCUACCAAUACCAAGAAAUACCAAUACGGACUUCUUGUUCCAAUCGAAACGAGCAAACCUGGGGAAGAUAGCAAGAUUAGCAGAACGGGAACCCCCCAUGGGGAAGGGCUCUGAGACGCACCACAGAGCCCGUAGCAGCUACUUUUAAGGUUUAUCGCCCAUCAGCCCAGAAAUCCAUAGAAAGACGAUUGAGAUUAGUGAAUGGCAUCGAUCUGAAGUUCAUAGAAUCUCUAGCGUCUCUUUGUUCGUAACAAAUGAGUAACUUAACUACUAAUGUGACGAAUAGUGCCAGGCGUAGUGUAUCACUGGAAUUCGAUCAGUCUGUUGGAAAGGGAUCACUCUCUGAUUCUGCUUCAAGUCCUGUGCGUGCCUGUUUCGAAGAAUGCUAUUCGCUCUAGUGUCCUGUGCCUGUUUCGAAGAAUGCUAUUCGCUCUAGUGGAAAAAGUAGCGAUUUAUGGCCAUGAUCCCGACCCGAAGCCUCAAAUGAUGACGAACGGCUGACUUCACGUAGAACCCGUUAUGCCAAUCUGGAUUCCACAUCUGCUACAAGAAAAUCGUCUUGAAAGAUUGCAAAUCAAGCAUUCGUCCUUAGCUCAAGGAUUGGAUUACCGCAGUUCCUGAAAGAUAUCGUGCCAACAGAAAGAUCUCGUUCCCGUAGAUUCCGUUCGUUCCAGCAAUCGUGCCGGAACUCACUGAUCCAUUCAAAGGAUUUCUUUACCACUGCUCCCGAUGGCCAAAGGACCGAUAUCUUCUUCUCACGCCUAGCAAAGAUCGAGUUCUGUUCUCACUUCACUUAAUGAGCCUAUUUCUCUGUGUUUAUACCCGUUUAGAUAGAUGGGCUCUAAGGGAGAAGUGGCGCACUUUCUCGAGCUAUCUAAGCAUCCAGGGAAGUGAUUCCACAAUCUAGAGAGAUUCUCCUCUUUUCUUUUUCAGAGUUGAGCUCAGGCUAAGGCCAAGCAUGGAUCAAUGUUUGUCAAAUCAUUCUCUGUUGAGUUGAGUCCUCGCCGAAGGUGCCGUGCCGUAUAGUACUUCUCCGGUUAUAGGUGAUAGGUGCAUGGCUUCCGCUCAUAAAGAAUGAGUGAGACCGGCGCUCAAUCAAUCAGCCACCAGUAGAGGAUAAAGGAAAAAGGGGUUCAUCAAUGAGAGGUGCAUGAGAUUCUGUAUUGGCCAACUCUUUCUAACUAUCACUAGGCCGGAUACUCCGAUUCUCUGUGGACGAUUUCCUUCUCUCUCGUUCAAUGCCCUUUGGUCUCGAGGAUCACCAUUUGGUGGGGUUGGGGUCACACCCGAAGUCGUAUUGGAGAAUUGAGCGGAACUACUUCCAUGUGCACUCUUUUAUCGGGUCAGGAAGCCCUGUUUUUGAAGCAGGAAGACCUCUUCGUCAUCAUUAUUGGGGUAUGGGCCCUAAAUCAUUGGAAAAGACGGUUUUAUUUAGGGAAUUGACACGAUAUCGCCUCCUUCUGUACUAACAAGGGAAUGGAUGAGUUCACUUAAGAAGCAGGCCUGGCCGGUACUAAAACAGAGAAGUCAGCUCAGGUUUCAUCUCAUCUAAGCAGCAGCCAAGCGAUGAUUCUGGAAUCGUGCCAUGCUUGACAGUUGGACUUCUCGCCAUACAUAGAAAUGAACUGCUGAUGAGCUAGCUAUCCCCGAUAUGAUCUGGUACUAGACUUCACACAUGUUGCCAUCGUAUAAUCGGAGAAUCAACGCUGCUGUCUACCUUCGGAAAGCAAAAUAGAUGAUUUUCGAUACUAGGAUGACUACUCCCGAGGCCUGUUUUAACUAAAGAAUUUACAGGUGGCCCGGUCGGUAAACUAUUCCCGAGAGAGGAGAAGCAGAAACAUCAAUCUGUAUUUUCGUAUCAUAUUCCAGCAGCUCCAAUGCCUUAGAGCGGGAUCUGCUGCUCUGUUCCCUUAGAUGCAAUAGUUUACUGAUCCGGUUUUCCCUAAUUUCAAUAGUGAGGAGGAUGUCUAAUAAAAAUACUAUAUUCUAGUAUCUGACCAAAGGGAAGAAUGAAAAUAAAUAGAGAUAGAGGUCUCGGAAGUAGGGCCUAUUAAAAGUACAGUGCCUUCUUGUUCUUGUUCUUCUGAUCGAUUGAUUCAAUUGGAUUAAAGGGAAGAGAACACCAAAACUACUAGCGAAAAGCACUUUCACCUGGCUAGCACUUAGCAAGGUUAGUUUAGUUUGCUUGGAAGGGGAGCAUUCCAAAUGCAUAACUCGAAAUGACACUGAAGACUAAAGCUAGAACAUCUAUAGUGACAGACGAGGGUGAAUCGUAACUAGAAGAAGGCCUCCGAACUGCUUCAAAUCAAGAAAUUGUGGGGAGCUUUUGGUCAAGUCUUGGAAGGGACUCCCAUCCCAGAGUGUGAAAGCUCUCGGGAGAAGGGAAUCGACAACACAACUGGAGCUGCCCUUUCUUUGGUUUAGUAAGAAGCUUCCUCAAGUAUGUCGAUUUGUAGUACGGUCAGUUCACUCGAAUCCACUGACUUCAUGCACGGGGACUCGACCAUCAAUCCUUUCUUGUGACGAGCUGUGACUGGGUGCUCUGAAACCUCCUUAAAAGGAGGGGCGGUGGGGUAAGGUAAUUGAAGUAACUAGCCAGUAUUAAGAUUAGGCAUAAGCAUAAUAAACUGAUGCAUCCGAAGACGGUGAAUCUAGAAUAGAGGCCGGGUGGGGAAGCAAAAGAUGCAAGAGAGCCUUUUUCCGGGAAGGAAGGGACGGCCGAGAACGAUGUCCUUUCUCGUGCCUAAUGCCUAAUGCCUAAGCGGGAGCGCCCCUCUGUCUGCUACUUUACACUACUCCUUGAACGUGUCCUCUCGGCUCUCCUCGAAACUAUUCCGAAGUUUUGAAUUCCAUUUCUAUGGAUAGGUUCUAAGCAUAUGAGAGAAAGGCGGAUGAAAGGCAGUGACCCUAAGUUCUGAAUCUUGCCCUGAAUAAGUAGGGUUUCGGGGAAGUUAGAAGCCUUUCGGGCUGAAUAGGGGCGGUGAGAGGGUGUAGUGUAGUAAAGGAGGUGGGCUUAGAGCCAGCAAGCAAAGUAAGGCAAAGCUUUAUCGCGAAGAGGGCAGAUGAAUGAAUUGGUUCCAGGGUAUGCCUUCCGAGGUAUGCCGGGCAAUAAGGGCAAGGAAGGCUGCGGGAAGAGUUUCAGGACUAGGCCAGAGGACUCCUGUCCAUAAGGCUAGGAAGGCAGGAGCAAAAAGAUUGAACUAGCCCACGCAUCUGCUCCCCUCUCAAUCCACCAAUAACUCCCAUCUCCCAGCAUCUCAUUCCCCCACCCCGUCGUCGAGAGCAGCCAGCCCUUCUCAAUAGAAUCCAUGUGCCAUUGCCUGAAUGUCAAUCUGCCCCUCCUGUCCGAAAAGAAGCAUAUCCGAAUAAAGGUACCAAGGUAACCCUUAGAGUCAAAGCAUUUUUAGCUAGUAAGGACUUACUGAAAAAGGCUCAAAAAAAUAGGAAUCAGUUGGAGGAAACUAAGGACCAGGUUCACAUUAUCAGUGAGCGCGGAUAAGAACGUUUCCUGGAAUUCCACAUCCCAUAUUGACUCUACCAUCCCUAACGUUGGCCACUAAGUCCAAUCUGACCUAUCUCAAAUAAGAUCUUUUAGGAUCAAUUGGUUAGGCAUCCCUCUUAUUUGUUUGCAUAAGGCCACUAGCCAUCUAGUGUUCGCUAUCCUUCAUCUUUCGAUUAGCGAGAUGAUCUUAAAAACUACAGGCCUGAAAUUUGCCUUUCUUAAGACCCUGUUGAACAUAUUUUCAAAAUGUUCCAUCAUUGGGUAUAAGUAGAAUCUUCAUAGCCCAAAAAAAACACAGUCAAAGUCAAACGUUUGUCGGUGGCACAGGGUUGUGUUUGAAGAAAUGGAGUUUCGUUGUUCGUCACAUGAAACUCUGCACUUAGGGAUCAGCCUCACAAAUAUGCUCUUCGAGCUUUGAAACCGUCUUCUUUGUGGACUCGGCUGUAGGCUAUAUAUCCAUGGCUUGUUGAGAUCCCCUUCCUCCUUCCUUUCUCACUGGAAAAAGCAGUAGUUGUCAAUCGACGACCAGUUAUCAAUCAAUCUGAUGAAGGUAACAAUAUCCUCCUUGAAAUCCAUAUAAUCAUUCCCUGGAAAAUCCACCAGAUUCUCCCUCCUCUUAUGGCUCAAAGGCUCAACCUGGCUAGUAAGUCGGCAUAGGAGAGGAGCACUCAUUCAUCUUGUGGUGGGCUGGCUUACUACUCCCCGAUAUUAGCUCUCAGCAGUUAAGCAAUUCCGAAAUCAGUUUGUUGCCCUACAAAGUCUUUGACCUUGGGUAUAUGAGUAGGAGACUUAGGACAGUAGCGUCGAUAGGCAGUAGGGCAAGCUGCCGGAUUGACAGACAGUUAUUAGGACAGUGGGUAAGCUACUUAGGCUAGGGAAUAGGUACACAUAGGUCAGAUACACGGGCAAGUCUCAAUAACCUAAGUAGGAGUUGAUGAGUGACUUUCUUCUUCUCUAUUCCUUCUUACUGGACUGGACGGAUUCCUUUCUGUAAACUGAGUUAAUGGAGUCAAGAAAGAAGCUAGUACAGUAGGCAUUCUUAUUCCGUAAAAUAAGUCACUGGUAGGCAAGACUUUCUCUCGAGAGUCAGAGCUUCGAGACGACUUUCGCAGAUGUUCAAUCUUGCGAGGCGUAUGAGCCAGAUUUUUAGUACUCUCCCGACCUGUUAGAGGCCACCCUAAUAAGCGGAGAUUGCCGGGAAAACGUUGCUCAACAAGACAGUAACCAACUCGAAAAAGGAGACCCUGGCAUAACAAGUGGUGAUCUCUGUACUAGAAUAGAAGCCCUACUAAUUGUGAAGAACCCACAGCCGGGAGCGUUAGCAACUGGAUUUUACCACACUCCGUUAUACCCUCCCUUGGGGGAUGGCUUGGUGCUAAUGUAGGACUUUCGGAGACCUUCCGCUUGCUGUUUUGGUCCAGCCUGAGUGGCCAUAACUUCUACUGUGAUUUAGUUUGGAGCGGUCUUGCUCUUGUUGUUCCGUUGUUGCACGUCCUAUUCUGAUAUUUAGGACCAAGAGGUACUGGAUUCUCUUUCGGAUAGGCCCUGAAAGGAGAAGAAAGGCUGAAAUGCCAACGGACGUCUGUCUAUUCUCUAAUUCACCCGAUCCCUAUCCGCUUUCCAAAAAGGAAGAAUGCAUGAACCACGGCAGAGGAGAAAGGACGGAUCACCUGCCGAUCUUUUACAAAACUAUGCCAGAAAGGAUAUAAAGAUUGACCGGUACAAAAGCCAUCUCCAUCAAUCUACGCUCAUUAAGGAGAGGGUUCCUUAGAGAAUAAAAUGGGGAGCGAACGAAAAAGAUGUGUGGCUGAGGUGUUGGGAGCCCCCAAUAGAGAAGGACGAUGCGGAAAGGGAUGAUGGGAAAGUGACAAGACUGGACUUCGACUCGUUUAAAAAGAGUUGUAGCCGUACAGAAUUCCAAUUGGAAUGGACCCAUCUCAUGAUACAAGUUACCCUGGAUUUCUUUCUAUUCCUAUUUCGCCGGGCAAUUCUAGUUUUUGUUAUGAUGAUCUCAUGGAUAGUAGUAUUGAGUUCUAUAAACAGAUUGAUAGUAGGUUUUAAGAUAGCUUAGCCCUUGCUAUGAUUCAAUUUGUAUUGGAGAAGAGGGGCGCCAACCCUAUGUGGAAUGUAGCUAUGCUGUACUUCUUCCUACUAGCUACGGUGCAGCACCUGUUCCUAGCUACGAUGCUGCUCCUGUCCGCCCCUUGAUUUAUCACCGCUUUGGUCUUUUAUUGGUCAUUGAUUUAUAGACGGGAGGAUAAGUACCCUGGCUCGACCCCAGAUAUCGAUUUAGCAUUCCAUUAUCGGAUCUCCGAAACGGGAAACAAGAAAAGUAAUCGAAAUCGUGUGCCAGCGGGACAUACGAAAUUCACACUUUUUGACUCUCAAUCCACAGGUGGAGAUACCAGGGGUGGGUUUUCAUGGCCUAUAGUCUCCCCUGCCGACGAAGCACGAACUACUUGUUGAAAUCGCGGAUCCAAAUCUUGCAUUUCUCCUUUACUCGUCAAAGGCCUCGUAUUGUUAUUCCCAUGAUUCAUGUGGGCUAUCUGCUCUUUAUUGUAGGGUCCUACUCCCACCUAUCCUUAAAAAACGAUGUGAGUGGCUCACACUAAUCAAAUGUACAAGUAACUGACCCUUAUCAAGCUUUCCACACAUAGUAUUUUGAUCUAAGAUUGCAAUUCUUCCAUGUUUCCGCAGUAGCAUACUGUUCCAUGGAGCUAGGGUCCAAAAUAGGAAUCAACAAGUGUUUCCACGACUCUACCGCCCGGCCAAUCCUGUUCCACUGAAUCCCCUCCCUUUUUCAUGGCCACAUAUCUUUAUGGCUAAGGAGUGGGAAAUCUUUCUCCUGUUACACAAAUCAAAUGUUUCAUUUCAUCCGGGAAAAGCCACCUCUUUCUCCACAAACAAUGUCUUUGUCAUUUGAUCCAGUUUUUAUCCGUUAGAUAGGAACAGCUUUGCUAAAUACUGAGAACUCUCGAAUAGAAUAUGAGAAGGGAAAGAUCCUUUACAUAAGGAACUAUUGAUCAUAGGUGUACACGCUGAAAAGAAUUGAAUGAAACUCUCUUGUUUCGUCAACUUUGAUAUCAUUAGCUGUCUCUGUAGCUGGCUCUCAUGUCUGGUGUUCCAAGUAAAAACUUUUCAACUAGCUGGGUCACCGCUAUUUUAAACCCUGACUUGGAAUCAGAGCCAUAAAUGAGUGAUUCGGUCGGACGGACGAUUGAGUUCUUAAAGCUUGGAUCGACACUUCUUGUGUUGAAACAAACACGCUGUUGCUAGCGCCCUCAAUGCUCUCUUCGAUCCUUCGCAAACAUAGCUCCUUCUACGGGAGAUAACUUUCGAUCACUUUCAUCUCAAUUCGUUUCAUUGGCUGGUCGAGUGGAUGAUUAGACACAGGCGGAGUAUUCAAGUUGUCCCUACUUCAAGUUGUCCCUACUAACUAACGGGUCUAAUUAUCGCUGGCUCACAGGCUCCUUCGAAGCAAACAUUCGCUGCGCCCCUCGCAUUUAAGCUCUUGCUUUGUCCUGCGGCCUGCCCUCUAAGCAAAAGCAAGAUCUAGACAAGAGUGAAAAGCAGUCAGAAUAUUAAUAAUCUAAAAAGGCCUUCCUUGGUUGUGUAGCUAAUCCCCCUCCUUGACAAGAACAGAAUUUUUGCAUCUUCAAACUGGUUAUGGGUGAUACCCUCAUUCCCCAUUAACUCACUAGAAAGCCCUUUGAAUAAGCCUCAGGAACACCCAUUCCUUUCGGAUCAGGGGGUGGUUGUUUUAACUACUCGUUCGGGGAACAUUAGACAAAGUUACUUAUUUGAGAAAGUAAAUGAACCUGAAAUAGGACCUAUGUGAUAGUUUGCAGCAUGAGCAUGUAGAUGCUGGAAAAGGACCUCUGUGAUCGGUUGAUCAUUAGUCGUUUUUUUAAGGUAAGUAGGCGAUGGUAGAAAGCAUUUUUAUUACUCCUGUUGAAGGAGGCAGUGGUCCAAUUGGCUAUUGAAGUCGGUGGAUUCUGCCCAGAGUAAUCUCUAAAAUAGUGAAGCCAGUAGCAAUGACUUCGUUUUCAAGCUACUGAAAUGCACUUAAAUGUUGAAUUUGGAUUAGCAAAUUACACGAGCGAUGCGGCGGCCAUUAAUAUUUAUCCCUUUAAAUUCUUGUUUAUAUUCGUUGAACCAAGUUGGAUCUGUGAUACCAGGGUGGUGGCUUUAACAAAUAAGCUCCAAUUGAUCCAUUAUUUGAGGUGGCCACCGGUGGUAGCCCUUAGGAAGUUCUUAACUGCGCUAAUUCACCUCUUAUUUCUCUUACAAACCCGCCUCCGUAGGGGCUUCAAGCGAGCGCGUUUCGAUGUCAACGAAGGUACGCCCAAUUAGGGAUUGAAUUCUCUUAUAAUUCAAUCAAAAGAGCAUAACGUCUUAGCUAAAUGUCUGACAUAGCGUCUGAUCCCGGUGAAUUGGGUUAGUUAACCGCACCCUUUGGUGAAGAAGGGGGUAUUCCUAGGCACUAGUUAUUUUCUUAUGUGUGGACUUCGACCUUACAAAGUAUGAGUCCGUGCCUUCCUAAGUUGGUCCUGAAUUUCCAAUGAAGUUUUGAUUUUCUCGAGGGACGUAGCAAACUGUUUGGUUGGCUCCGAGCAUUCUAAAAAUAGAGUCCUGCCUGGACAAUGUUGAUAACGGGAAAUCUCUAACCUCCGUGGUGGGUGUGAAGAAGAGUACAGCUAGAAAGCGAGAGAAUAUCUUUAUGGAUAUGAGUCUGAGGCAGAAGUCUCUGAAUGUGGGCCUGACGAACCUUUUGUACCAGGAUCAUCACGAGACUCUGUUUCUGUGGUAGAUGACUCAAUAGGCAGGGCCUAGAACCUCUAAAGAGGGUGUGACCGAUCACCAGAUCACGAUCAAGAAGAGUCAAAGCUGUCUUACUAGCGCGAGCAAUCAUCCAACUAUGGUGGUUUCUCAACCGGUGGGUACAUUUCUGUUGCACAUUGUGAGUUCAUAUUUUCUUUUCUAAGAAACAAAAGUUCGAGCAGAUGCCGUUCUAGCAGGUACAAGAACUCCCGUUCGGUAGGCGUCUGCUUUAGCAAUGUCUUUGAUCCUCGAUCAACAAUUUGAGGAAGACGAGACAGAAGCCUUUGGAUGAAACCAAUGAAUCUUCCGAUCCGAAAGACUAAGGGGCUAGGCGCUCACCUACUAUCUACACAUUUCCUCUUUGGCGUUGGCUCCACCAGUUUUGACUGCGAGUCGCUUUAGUUAUCUCAAAUCUUUGGCAGGAAGGGGCCAAGCCAAAUAGUGCUCUUUAGAAGCGUAAUCCGUGCUUGAAACUCCUUCGCUAGGAUCCAAAAACCUAUGCUUCCGCUCUUCCUCACCAGGCAAUGCUUACUCUUCUCGAUCAAGAUUUUGGAGACUUUGAAGCUCAAGGACACGACAGCGCUUGAAACAAAUGCUUUGUUUUGGCACCUUCGUCUUCCUUUCUAACAUUAGUAAAUUCGAGCUAAUGGGACCAGUUUUGAAUUGCCUAGAGGGUGGAGAAGUCACAUCAUCUGAGGUUUGUUGUGGGUUCAAUUAUGACCCCGGUCUAGAAGACAGAGUGGUUGCACGUGUAAGUACAUCAUGUUACAUAUCUAUUUUAAGCUAAGCUAAAUGCCUAAACUAAACAAUUUUCUAUUAAGCGCGGCAUCCUCUCUUCGGGGCGAGCCCUAUCGAUGAUUUCAUUCUGUACAAUGUGAAACCUGAAAUACCAACGGUAGUUUCCAAGUGCCAUCUCUAUUCGACUCCCAUGCUUAUUGUUGAACGCUUGAAGGGGAAGUCCGGGCUGGGUCAGCUAAAGGCGGAGCCGGGCGGGAUAUGGUAUUAGCUCUCUAUGUGCUAUUAGCUUAAGCUUAUCACUCCAGCUUAUUACCCUAGGCAGAGGGGGGUAGGGGAGCAUCACUAGAGAGUCUCCAUACCCGGUACAAGAUCCUGGCUUAUAUAAAUUCAUUCAAGGUUAUGGCUGAACUGGUCUCACCGCUUCCUUCCUCAAUGCUAGCGGGACCCUUGCUUUCCAUUGCCUUUCGAAGGGGACCGACCAUAUGCAUACUUCUUUUUGUACAACUUUGCUCUGUUGGAGCCUUUGCAAUAAGAAAGUGGAUUAGGAGAGAGAGCUCGCAGACGAUGUUCCCUUCCUUCUAUAUAUCCAUAUAUCUAUCGCCCCCGGGCACUCCAGAGCCAGUGUGACAUUCUAUCCGAAAUGCAUGCAUCUCACAUUAGGUAGCCAUCCAUGACCCCGUGUGUGUUUCCCAAUUGCUCAUCCAAACCAUCAUUUCUUUCUUCCAUCCCGGAACGGAGAUCUGACCCAAGGAAGGAAUUGCCUUCUUUCUCAUGCCAACCAGAUGGAUGUGGCCCAGAGCUGAGUGAAUUCCCUCUGGGUGAGCGCUAUGGAGAUAGGCCAGGAUCAAUGAAAAUAACCGAGAUCGAUCGGUAUCCAUCGCUCAGAGAGCUGCUUUCUCCCCGAUAUCUGUAUCUGCUUUCGGACGGCCAAACAAGCAAGAAGAAGGAAACUUCCAUUUCGCAUAGCUGCUAAAGUAGUAGUUUUUGUCAAAUCAUACUUCUGACCAAUAGUAUCAGUGGCUUUAUGCGUCCGCAACCUAGUUUUGUAUCUGCAUAGUGAAGGAAAGAAAGAAGCAUGUUAAGGUGACUUGAGGGAAAGACUGAUCCUGAUAGACAAGAAUGGUAUGGUUGGAUUGCCAGUGAAUAAGCAGCAAGGCUAAAGCAGGGAUUGGAUUUACUUCUUCUAUUGUCAGUAGCAUCAUUUGCCUUCCACCCUCUCAAGAACUUCCUGAAGCCCUGAGACACUUGUUGCCAAUAGUCUGGAAUGGAACAUUUGCAACAGUUCUUGUAGGCCAUUUCUGUAACAGCAUAUCUCUAAACCCUUCUUGCGGAUGGUUCAAAACAAAACUUAGUGGCAGCCCCUAUCUUCCCCAUUUUCUAGAAGUCAAGGACAAUGAUCUGACCCAGCUUGCAAGAGGGAUAGUAAAACUUAGGAAAUAAAUCCUCAUAAGUUGAAGAAACCAGAACUCUAUCCAAAACUUCUCUCACUGGCCUGUCUUGUUUGUUAGUCCAGGCCACCAACCCUUCUCAGUUCCUGUAGUUCAGUUUCAGAUAUGAAAGCAUUAAAAGCUUCCAUCCUAUUAAUAUGUAUUCUGCCAUUGUUUCAUGAGCAAAUCUGAUCAUGUCCCGCAAAGGUAGAUCAACACUCUGCACAAAGUUAGUGAGCUCUGACAAAAACAUAGCUCUUAAAUUUGGUUGGACCAUAAACAUCCACCCAAGCACAAUUAUCACAAAGCCUCUAUACUCAAACACCAUGGAGAAAUUGACCCUCCCCAAUGAGGUCUGCAUCCAUGACAUCCAGAUUGACUCCAAUAAGCAUUCCACCUUUACUGCCACUGGCUGGCUUGCAAAACCACUUGAAAAGCUUUCUGCCACCAAUUGCCAUUAACUCUUUAUCUGAGAACUGUUCUCUCUUAGUUUCUUGCACACAAACUAUGUCCACCCACUCUAUCACUUCAGAAGGUUGCCCCCUUCUACCUGGCCAGGCCCCUCACAUUCAAGAUUAGUGUCUUCAUGGCGGUAUCUGUUUUUUGUUAUGCCUCCUCUUAGCUCUGCUCGUAGUGUUCUUGUCACCAACUGGUAUACAAGUACUGUGAUUAUCUAACUCUUCAACAAUUUGAGUAAUAUCCUCAUUCUCUGAAUCAGAGCUUAACUCGACACUGGAAGACUGCUCCUUCUCAUGAGCAGCUAACUUCUUUUUCUGAGCAGCUUCAUAAAGCAAUGCUUGAGCAAGUUCUCUUGCUUUAAUAGAAUUUAUAGACCUGUCAAUUUCCUCCUGUGUACUGCCCAACACUAGACCACUAUCUACAGCAGAUUUUACUAGACUAGCAGAAUCAAUGGAAUUGCAAAUAGCAUAUCUGUUAGUAGAAGACAUACCUGGUUCAUCAAGAUUCUUGCGUGAAGCCAUCCUUUCUGCACGUUGCUGAAUAGGCAUGCCAUCCUUCGGGAUCCUAUCCUAGCACUUGUCCUCGUUGCUUUAAUUCUUGCGUUUGCACCUCAUUGAACUUCUCAUGUUCUUUGGUCAUUCCAGAAAAAACCUCCAUACCUUAAUAAUAGGGGCUUGUGUAUAAAGGAAAGCAGCAAACCGGUCAAAGGCGAAGCUGUUCUAUCUCAACUCUCUGACUUGAAGGAAGAUGUGGCGGAUCUCAAGGCUGGCUCUAUUCCAAGUACAAGUUCCGAGGUGAAAUGCGUUGAUGUGGCCAAUCGAUAUACAGUAUAGUUGAAUGGUUCGACAAGUUCACAUGCCGGAGCUACCUGUUCUCCGCGAUUCAAUUGGUUCUUCUGCCUUGCCUUCUUAUCUAUCGGUCCCAAGGUCAAAGAAAUAGGUUCAGUGGUUCGACCUCCCAAAGGUUAAAGAAAGACAUCGGUAUUAAGACCACUCCCUCCGGAUGAUGAUAUGUCCCAACCAUCUAUAGCCCAUGGUUCGUUACUCGGGAAUUCGGAGAGGUCAGAUGAGAUAGAUGGGUGUGUUCAAAAUGGAAUGAUCCCCUUUUCUCAUGUUUGCAUUUUUGUUGUCCACAAACAAAUAAAGAGUCCGAAAAGACGUACGCAUAACAGACUCGGUACCUAGGUCAAUGGGUUCAGUGGAGAAUUGCGUUACUGUAAUAGCGAAGGUAUCUAUGAAAUGCAGUACCAAGGUCAAUGAAAUUGAAAGGCACCUCUGACAACAGAAUCAAAAGGAAUUUGCCUGACGAGACCAUGAAGGCGCACUUCAACGGGUUUAACUUGAGUGCAUGUUGCCUUAGGCGGUCGAAUACGAUUCUGAGAUGUUGAAGAUGUUCUUCAUAGGAUACCGCCUUUACAACGAGAUCAUCUACAUAGCACUCGACAAUCUUAUGUAUUAUCUCAUCGAAGAUCUUAGUCAUGGCGCGUUGAUAUGUAGCACCGGCGUUUUUGAGACCUUUGGGCAUAACCUUGUAACAAUAUAUGCCUAUUGGAGUGCGAAAGGCUGUGCUUUAUCAAGGCAAGCUUCUCUUUCUUUCGCCAAUGAAGUUCAUAUAAGUGUAUAGAAAGCCUUCUUUUCACAACCAUGCACAAACCAAAGUGCUGCUGAAACGUGAAAUCCAUGCACCAACAAGUUCCAGUUCAUAAGCAAUGAAAAAGCAGAGUAUAUGGGAGGAUAGUGGCUAAACUGUUCACUUGAGGAGAGUGGGAAGUGACUAGUCCGAUAGGAGAAGAGCGGAAGUGCGAUCUUUCGAUCCAAUCUACGUCGACUAAAAUCCAUGUCUCAUGGCAUGAGGGCCAUUGCGAGUUGAUGUUGUUGCUUUACCGUCACAGUCUGUCCUCAAGAGAGGCAUCCAUUCCUGGCCAGACAAAGUUCCUAUUAGUUCUCUUAUAGGAAGCUAGUAUACCUGAAUGGCCUCCGGUAGCUGUCCCAUGCAGUUCUUGCACUAUCCUGGCUCUUGCAUUUCCAGCGGUCCCCACAUAAAGCCUCCCUUUUUUCCUUAAUACCCCUUCCUCCUCUUCCCAACCAUCUUGUCCUCCUCUCGCUUCACUAAUGCUCUUCUUAACUUCUUCAGCUAAUUUUUAUCCUUCGUAGCUUUGUUUCACUUCUCCUAUCCAAUCCGGCAACAACUUGCUCACAAGGGUGCAACCACUGAAUUUGUAACGACACAAUGAUUUGAAAACCAAUCAAAAGAUAUGCAAAGAACACAGACAGUAAAGGUAGAAGAUCAUUUCCGGGUAGAUAGGAGAGCUAUUAAAAUCCACAAACAUGAAUCAGAGUUUCGACUGGGUUCUCCAGAUUUAACCAAAAGAAGACUUUUCUACAAAUAAGAGAAUUUCUCAUUUUUUGGUUUAUACCGAGCCAAAACAUAGAAUUUCCAUUGAAGAAGGAAGUAAGGAUGCUAGCCGGAGAAUCAAGAAAUAAAUACUUCCCAUUCCGAUUCUUUUUUAGUUCCCAAGAUAGAAUUUCUUUGUUUUUGGCAAGAGCGGUGGGUGACAACGUGCAAGACUAGAUAGGUUUGGCUUUGAUCUGAUCAAUAGGAAUAGGAGGAAGCGUUGGAGAGGUACCAAAUGACUGAAGAGGGGAACCCAUCUGACCACAUGUAGAGCCAGCCCAUAAGUAAAUUCAAGAGAAUUUCUUCAUCUUCCAAAGUAUGUGAGUGAGGUAAAAAUUCCAUGGAUUGAUCUCAUCACUCACAUCCAACAACUAGUGAAAGAUGUAAUGAUGAAGCUAUAGGAGAAGAAAAAGCGUUGGUUUUGAUUGGUAAUCUUGAGUUGUCAUCUUUUGAAAAAGAGUAACUUGCUGGAUGGAGAGCAGCUAGGAGAAUAAAGUUCAUCUUUACCCCAUCUUUCAUUCCAACUCUAUUUUCUUGUGUGCGAUCCUUCUUUCUGGUUUGGAAUCCAAGAAGCUCAAUGGGCCAGUUUCAAGUUCGAUCAGACACGAAAUCUGGUAUAGCCACUAGCCUAGAUAGAACGGGCGGGGGAAGAAAAACUAGGAGCGAGCCACAUUCAAGAGGGUUGUCAAAGGCCCUCUCAAUAGAGCUAUUUUGUCAUUGAAUCGAUGGAGGGAAGACUCCUUCGGUAGGUGCCCCCGAAUCUUCCAGUUUCUGGGUGGGAUCUUAUGGCUUAAUCUCUGAUUGCGCAGGAUUCAUCUUUGUUUGGUAACCUCAGACCCUGAACCAGGAGUUGGAAGCGCCUUUGCCAGACUUUCCAAUUGAACACGAUGCGGGCGAUGCAACUCGGCAAGGAGAAGGCUGAACCCUGGUGCUACACUACAGCAGAAGCUUUGGCAGUUUACCAUGGCUUGAUGUUCUAGUUGUCAUGCUAAAGUCGUUGAUAGCUACUUCACUUGACGAGCUAAGUAGAAAGACUUUGUGGAUGAAUCCACAACUGAUGGUGCUUUAGGUUGAUCUGAUCCCUAGAAGGAAGAGUUUUGGGCUUAAGGCAUAAUUGCUCUAUUGCGGCUACCCUGGCUAUGUCAUCCGAUGCUGUUCACAAAGCGGCUCUUACUAUAGACCCGGCUAUCUCCGAGUUGAAAUCGAACCCAGCCCCGGGUUUCCGUCCAUCAAUCCAGAGCUCAAGACAACCGUGAUACUUAAAUCGCUCAAAUAGCCACCUUAGACGGACACAGCCAUUAGAAGAAGAAACUGAAACUCGAUGGAGUACCCUAAACCAGAGAUCCUCGACAAAGAAAGUCUCGAUUCGAGGAACGAAAUAUCAAUAGAGGAACGAAAACCGCAGGGUAUGAAAUUUGGGUAGGGUUGGCAGGGAAAGUCCAACUGAAACUUUCUUUGAUUACCUUUUUUCUCCAACUGGCUCAGAGAUUGCAUUUGCCCUUAACCGGUAACCUCCUUUUAAUCCUUCGUUUAGACCCUAUCUAUUGGUAUUGGCAUUGGCUCGAGAGCAAGGACCUUAUUUGAUCGCUUAGAACUUGAUGGAGGGAAACUCACUCGCUCGAGAUAUGCUUAAGCUAGCUCAGGAAGAGUACUAAUUUUAUAUGCCUUAAAGAGGGGAUUCAAAGAGUAGCCUUUUACUAGGGCUUAAGUGACUCGUUUCAUAUUGCUUACUAUGGUCUGGACAGUGAGGAAGGUGAGUUGGAAGAUAUACCUAAUGUCAAAUGAGACUUUCUCCUCACCAAAUUGAAGUGUGAGCUUAGCAUCUUUCACAUCGAUGACAGCCCCUGCAGUAGCUAGAAAAGGUCUCCCCCAAAAAAAUAAUAGGAAAGCUCUUAUCCUACAUCUCCAAGACAACAAAAUCAACUGGAAAUGCGAAGUUACCAACUAUCGCAGGGAUAUCACCCAAAAUGUCUGCCGGAUCCUGAUCAGCAAGGUGGAGAGUGAUGCUAGUCGGCCGUACAUCACCCAAUGGUAGUGGCUCGUAGACAGUGAAGGGAAUCACAGUAGACCCAAGACCACAUAAAGCAUGGAAAGUUUGACUUCCUAUCAAGCAUGGAAUACUAAAACUGGCAGGCUCAUCUAAGUUGAGAGGUAGCUUAUUUGAACGAGUGCACUACAUUCCUUAGUAAGAGUAACCAGUUCUGGCUCGUUAAUGUUUCGCUUCUUUGCGAGCUGGUCCUUAAAGAACUGUGUAUACAUCGGCACCUGUAAGACACCAUCAAGGAUGGGGGUGGUAAUCUGCAUAUCUGUCAUCAUAUCCAAAAACUUUGCAAUCUGCUUGUCUUUAGUUGACUUCACAAACCGUUCUGGAAAUGGCAGCUUCGGGUUGACAGGUGAAGCAGAUUGAUGAUGGAUCAUUAGGAGCAAUAGCUGCUGGUGUAGAAGAACUAGGCUGUGCAGCAGAAGUAGUGGACUGUUGAGGUCCCUGCGGAGAAGGUAUUGGGCCGGCUAGGGUAGAAGGCAGGUGGUACAUACAACGCUGGCAUUGGGGAAGAGGAUCGGUUGUAGUCUUACCACUCCGACUAGUAAAGGCUCCACGUGGGUGAACUUCAGGUUGAGGUGGAAGUCUCCCUUGUAGAUGGUUGUGAGGCUACCAUACGAGUGGUCAAUGUUUGCAUAGAAGAAUCCUUACACCCAAUAUUGUCACUCCUUUUAGAAUACCUGUCUACACCUACAUCAGCAAGAUGUAGUUUUAUUAAGUCGGCUUCCAUUCCUUAUUCGGAAGGCGUUGGAUACUUGAUAUACGCUAUGCUAUGUACUCGGCCCACCAUUGCGCAUGCUGUUUUAGGAAGCAUAUUUGGAUCCUUAUUCAGGGAAAGCUCAUAUCCAUCAAAAACCAAUCGAAGUCCAGCUUUAUCCCGAGCAUCCGUUGUUUGCCCCGAUUGAAGAUCUGACACGACACCCUCUCUUCCAUCUCCGGCUUCCUAACCAGAUCCGUUUACCCCUGCUUGAAAAAGUGUUUCCAUUCGUAGUUCGGGGUUUCCUAGUCCCAGGUUUAUUCAUAACCGGCUCCCUAUCCAGGUCUUCCUCCUCAACAGCUAUCUUUGUUUGACGGUGUUCGUUGCCAAUGCAAUAGUAAUAUAUGCUUGCUUUCUUCCUGUUCGCAUAUCCAUAUCGAAAACUCUUCUUUCGUAGGCACAUUUACUUCAAUUUAACUACUUCAUUGAUGAAUCAAUUUGAGGAAAUUCAAAAAUACCUUGCUCGCCUUCGCAACUGCCUUCUUUUCUGUGCCUUCCUAGUUUGCCAACCCUAUGUUUGAUUGCGAGUUCCGGCGGGGUGAGUACCUGGACGGACAAGGGGUUCCUUUUCGAUUUCCAUUUUAGAGCUUCUCUCUAGUUCGAAUAUAUAGAACUUCCUUCUUAGAAAUGGAAUACCUUCACCUUAGAAGGGUGUUCUUCCUACUAGUGAAACCAGAUCUGCCUUUUUCGGCUAAGCCGAUUCCAAUGAUCGGACGGACAAUACUUGCUUAAACCUAGCACCCUGUUGCCUUGCUUUUCCUCCAGCCGUACCUGCCUCGCCGCUCGUGAUACCCAGGAAGGGCAUCCCUCACUUCCCAGAUCGUCUCGCACUUCUUUUGUCACUGGCACACACGCUCUCGUGGGUCUAUCACUGAGAAAUCCCUUUUCGCCGGGCGGUGCGGUAAGUAAGACUAGUCGAUGGACAACUGCUGACUGAAUAGGGAGAAGAUGCAUUUUCCUAGGCUCUUUCUACUUUGCUCAUUGGGUAUAGCCGUCAGUGAUCCAUAGAUACGGCGCUUUUGGAUUCCUAAAGGGAUAGGAUAGUUCUUUCUGGGCUUUAGAGGUCUCCCCUUUAACCUAGUACUCUUAGGAAGGCCGGGUUAACCUUCUACUAGAACUGUUCUAUCUACGAAAUUGGAAAGUAGGGUCAACUUGCCAUAAUAUAUAUCCCAACUUGAUCCGUCUUAGAGUAGCCGCCUAUGGAACCGCCCCCGAGUCAACAAUGCACCCGAUCGCGAGCCUUAUAUGAGUUUCAUAGUCAGCCCGCUCUUUCAAGAACGUGCCUUCUAAACUCGUUGUUCCGCUUGCAGAUUGGAGUUUCCUACUGACUAUCCGAGUUCUUGAUACCGCCGGCCGGGAAUAAGUACCUAUCCCUUACGGGAAUCGAACCCGUGUCUUCGACAUGAAAAGACGAUGUCCUAACCUCUGGACGAAAGGGACCAAAAAGCUAUUUUUCAUAUACUUAAGAGAAGAGAAGUGGUUCCUUUUCUUUCUAUACGAAAUACUUGAUGCACUUAUUGAAUGGAAACUUGAAUUGAGAGAAAAGGUGUGCUACGCUUCUUCAUUCUCGUAACUCAAUCAAUAUCAAGAACAUAAAGAGUUUGUAUAGAGAUGGAUUUCUCUUCAGUUCCAAGACUUUUUUUUGAAUGGCUCGUGUUGCGCUAGUGACAUGAGGGUAAAACGCUCGAGUUGGCUUGCUGACUCGAGGAGGGAAAGGCUCCAUUUGCUUUAGUGAAUGGAGGAAGAAACAACCAUAGUAACUAUCUAUGAAAUUGAUUGAUGGAUAUGAGAGUGGUGCAAGACCGGGACAGAGGAACCAUAGGAAUGUUAUGUCAGGUUCCUUGCUCACUUCUCAAGCCCAAUAUCAUUCCUCCAACUCGGACUUUCAUGCUAUAAUUAAGAACCCCCCUAAACAAUGACAGCGUACCGAGCGGGCCCUACGUCUAUCGGGGAGCUCAAAUCCUCACUAGAGUGAGGCACGUCUCGAUCAAUACAUCUCGAAUCUAAAGAGAGAAUGUUAUUGUUAUGCUGUCCCCACUCUGGAGUAUGAUUGACCAUAUCAUCCAGCGAGUGGUCUUAAGCGCUCAGUGCAUCCAUACUGAACUCGAAUGUGCGCGCUUCGGAAGAGAAAGUAAUGCGAACUACUAACUGUUAUGCCGGCUUGGCCCGAUCAAGACUUCUAUCCCUCAGAAACUGUCUCGCGUCUUAUCCGUGUGCGCAGUUGAGGAAAUUGGACUUCGUAUUCUUCCUGGGUCUGGCUCGUGGGCCGACGUCGUCUUGUGUUGUAAUCGGGGCACGAGUAUUCGAAGUAGAAGCGCUAACAUUCCCCCUUCCUUGAGAAAGCGCUUGACCCCAAGCCGGUGCAUAAGGAAAACGAGUCUUCAGGUCGAUGAGGUCCUCCCAAGUAUUGUCCAGUGCCAUCGACUCGGACCAGCGAAUCAAGCCUUGUUCCAGGACUUGAUCUCCCUUUAUUACUUAUACCAACGACUCACCAAAACUUGCAUAGGGACAGAGGGAUUGUCAGUCUCAGAUGGUAAACGAGAGGAUACCUGAGACAGUGGGCGGGGGAACAACACGUCGAAGCUUAGAGACGUGAAAAAUAGAGGGUGCACUUGAGAAGUUGAAGGUAGCUCCCGGUGUUAAUAUGGAACAGCACCAACACGUGCUAGAAUCUUGUAAGGCCCAAAGUAUCGGAAGGAAGGGUUGUGGCAUUCUUCCCCUAAAAGGUGCACAUCCAUCGAUUCCCUCAUCUAGUGUAGUGCUCUGUUCAGAGACCAAGGAAGCUAUUAGUUUGAGUUCCUGAUUUCCCUGUUGCCGACUAGAUUGCUUACCGACUUUCAUGAUGGAAGAAGAUACCGACUUGAGGGAAGGCAGUACAGAGCAGCAGCCUAGGGAUAAGCAGGAAUUCAGGUUAGCUUUUCUGUUUUCCGAAUCUUACCCACCUGAGAGUCCUAGUCUCGAAAGGGCGCCUUGGCCAUCCAGCCUUAUCGCAGAAUUGAUCCAAAAGUUGUGAGCCGAUAGAAGUGGAAAGAUAGCAGGUUUCAGAAAGGAAAUAUUCCAAUGGUUAGAUUACCUCCAUCUCAGUCAACGAUGGGGAUUUUUCCUUAAUUGGUUUCUUCUUGGUUUCUUGAUUUUCACAUCCGUCUUAAAAAAACAGGGGCCGUGCACGGUGCGUCUUCUGGGAAUUGUGACCGUUGGUAGCUUGCUUUUAAUGAAAGCUGCUGUUGACUUUGGGUCACUCUACUCCCUUUUUGAAGAGCGUCCCCUAUUAAGAUUGAUGGCUUUGUUAUACGGAGCCAUACAGAUCUAUAUAUGCUUGCUGCGGCCAAAAACCGUGAGGGAAGUAGUAAUCACAUUUCUAUUUAUUUUUCUAUUCGGGGCUAUUAUGGCUUUCGAUAUCUUUGUUCACCCCGGGAACAAUUUCCAAAUCUUUCCACCGAGUUGGUUUAUUUUCCUUUUUUCGAAUUCCCUGGCUUCUUUUACCUUUUUGUAUUUAUUCCAAAAGUGGGGUUCGCUACGCGAAAUCCACCCAUUAAUACCAAUUUACUUCUCAUUACUAUCCACCGUUUUAAGUCAUUUUCCUGAACUCGCUCCCAUCUCAAGAUGGAUGGAAGGGUUUCAGUUGCUUUUUCUUUUUCUAUCUCUUUUCUUAUUCUUAGAGGAGAGGUUUGCCAAUAGUAAGGCUAGCACCUCUCUGAAAAAGAAGGAGAAUCAGGGGGUGACGUCAGUCGCAAAACCACCAUGCACCACAGGUUCUUCGCCAAGUAAAUGAUGUCUUUUUCCGCGCGCUACUGUGAGGGUUGGGAUGGCAAAUACAUCACUGAAAGGUGAUGUGGUCGCCGGGAUCCCGCUAUGGGGGUCCUCCCGUCAUGAGCGACCAGUAGGAUAGGUCGAUGUGAGACAUUGGUUCGACUCCAAUUCAUGACGAGUUUCUAAGGACAGCAUUCUCUCGAAGAUCAAAUGCAAAAAAGCAGGUAGGAUAAAAGAAGUCAUUUAAUAGGUUGAGAGAGGCUAUCUCUCCUUUCCUUCUAUCUACGAUAUUUUUAAGGUUAUCCCCCUUUAUAGGUAUGGUUAGCCUAAUAGCUCAUCAAUCUAGGAUAAGUGGGUUUUUAGUAAAUCGAAUGGAUGCGCCUGUUUAUCUUAAUAGAGCGAAGCGGUUACCAGGGUAGCGUCCUUCCUCACAGUGGGCAGGCUCGAUUGCACCCCAUAAGGGCCCCAUCACCUUUUAUUAUCAAACAAGCACAGCACAUCAACAGAAACUCUUUCUAUAUGAUAAUUUGAGAGUGAAAGUAAGAAGUGGAAUGGAAACAUGGAUUUAUAGUUUGAUCGGGGUGAGGAAUUGGACAGGAUCGGGCAUCAAUCAGUGCCCUCCGUCCCAACGGGAAAUGCACUCAUGAAUUGAUGAUUUAUCCGCCACUGCUGUUGAUGCCAGCCCUAGUAGGACGUUGAUACUUUCUUAUUUAACCCAUCCAUAAAAAAGGGAUCUUUGAAAGAAAAAGUUCUUCCCACCUAGUGCUACUUUCUUACUUCCCCCUUUGCCCAAUAACUGAGAUCUUGCAAAUAGUUACUUAAUAGCAAGCACUGAUCUAACUUAUGCUUUCGAGUAACCUGACGAACGCGAACUACCUUCGUACAUUCUGUCCAACUGGCAGGCACACCCCCAUAUUAAUAAGUGAUAUAGAUAGGAAUGUGAUUGAAUAAGAACUCUUCUUAGUAUCGCGUGCGGAACCCGAAACCAAUUCCCACUUCCAACUUGAAUGCACGGGGACGGGACGGCUCAAUGCACAGGGACGGGACACGGGGCUAGCACUAUUUUAUGCGGCACUAACCCCCAUUUGUGCGGCACUAAGCUCCCAAUUUCACUUCUUGGAUCUUGGCGCCAAAAAGCCAUACAUAGCUAUCACUUCUCGUGCCAAAGCGCUCCCCGGAGGGAGACCCAUCCACUAAUUAAUACCUUCUUCGGAGGUCGAAGAUGCCAUCCCGCUCCCGAAGAAAGGAGACAAUCUAUGUAACCUUAGCCCACCUUUUCGAGUACAGUAGACUCUAUCGUACCAUGAAAUGAAGAAAACUAACAUAUAACAGCUGAGGGUCAAGCGGAAGAAAAAAGGGAGAAAUGGUUUUUGAGUUGGGCAUGAUGAAAGCGGGCACAAUGGCAUUACUUAGAAGCUAUUAUGUCCUGUCUUGGCUUUAGCAAUAAACUUGUGCGACUGAUGACUCCCUCCAUCCCUGACAUCGCCAAGACUAAUGGAUAAGGUUUUGCCGCAUCUUAAUCGAACCGCAUGCGGAGCUCAGCUCCUAAGAAAAUAAUAAGAAAUAUCUAGUUUUGUUUCAUAAGUGGCGAGCCAAGGAAUAAGAAUACCGCCCCCUGAUCUGUAUAGCCAUCCUUAACCAAAAGAAAGAAAAUCAACAUUAUCUAUUUUAUUCUUUCAAAAAGAAGCUGAACAACCUACUGCUUGAAAAGCGGAUUUGGCUUAUUGCUUCCCGUCCGCCUCCGUUUAUCCACUUUUCAUAGCUACUCAAGGCUUCUCUUCGAUAGUAAAGUAUUAAAUUCCACAUAUCGUAGGCUGACGCCCUUUCCUAAACAAUUCUUUUUUACAAUCUCUACCCCACCUCUGCUUUUUCUUUAAAAUUCCUUCUAAAAACCAGCUCCGGGAUUAAGGUUUAUCCGGGCAUUCAUUGUAGAGUAGAAGUGGGCUGCGAGCGCGGCUUGGACCAAAAAGAAAGAAACUGAGCAGAAAGAGCGAGUAAUUGAAUAUAGGAAUCUGACUUGCUUUGCUGAGAGUUCAUAAGCUAUUGAUACAGGGUUGGCUUCCGCUUUUGUGAUCGGAUCUCAAUAUCUAUUUUUAUAUUCGUACUCCAAGGAAAAAGAAUGCAGGCCAAAAGAGGAAUGAGUGAGGAAAAGUACGAUUUACCGGGAGUCGGAUUUUCAUAGAGGCCGCAGGUUUGUUACCGACAAGUAGUAGUUCGUUCCUCUUUCUCCGUGUAAAGACGGAGCUCCUAUUCUCAUAUAUAAUGUAUGUGUUCCGAGUAAAGGUAACACGUAUGCCCGUUUUGAACUGGAAAAGGUAGGAUUCCCCGUGUUUUUGUCCUAAAAUUGACACCUCCUCUCUAUUAUGAAAUCCCUCUAUCCUGGCGCAUCGGUGUAUGCUGUAAAAAGGGAGCUAUAUGCCACGUGAACCUCCCCAUCGCUAUCCCAUUCCAAUUCAGCUCUUUCCUUUCCCUUCCUGACCUUGAAACUGGCUAACGCCUUUUAUGAACUCUUAUCCAAAAUCUCUCAAUCAAAGUAUGUUCCUUUUCAAACCUUCUUCUAGCUCUAGCUUUUCCAAAUCCCUAUCGUCCGGUCACAGCUCGUGCAUCUUCAUGGAUAUCUACUACCAUGAAAAGUAGAUCGUUUGAGGGAGGGUUCGCUGUGAUUGUUUUCAAGUGAUCUGCCACUGGUUUUCCUGAGAAGGUAGUCCAAUGGCUUCUUCUUUUUCUACACCACCUGGGAACUGUCUUCUUUUUCUACACUACCUGGGAACUGAAGGGCUACUCGGGAGGCUUAAGGCAAGGUCAACCCAAUCCUUACCACUUUGUCUUGAUCAUACUUCCGCUUUCUACCUUCUUGUUUGCAAACUCGUAGCUUCUUCAACACUCAGCCUAAAACAACCAUCUUGAACAAGAAUCUCUUCUUCAAAGCUGAAUCUGAAAUCAAUGAGUCCUGAUCUACACCCUUAGACGUCGAUGCACUUACUCCUUACUCUAUUUGGACUUUAUGGCUAAUGACUUACUUGAAAGAUUCGUGCAGGUACAUAUACAACUGACUAUACUACUAAUAAUAAUAGUGACUCUGGUUCAACUUCUUACUUUUCUUGAUCGGACUUGUACUAAAUUAGAGUUGAUUGAAUAAGGAAGGCUGACACGCUUCUCGGUUGUGGAGUCAGUUCUCGGUGGUGGUGCAAAUACCUUCCGCGCUUUUAACCCAACUCAAGCUGAAGAAACUUAUUCAAUGGUCACUGCUAACCGCUUUUGGUCCCAAAUCUUUGGUGUUGCUUUUUUUUAAUAAACGUUGGCUACAUUUCUUUAUGCUAUUUGUACCCGUCACCGGUUUAUGGAUGAGUGCUAUUGGCGUAGUUGGCCUGGCUCUGAACCUACGUGCCUAUGACUUUGUUUCCCAGGAAAUCCGUGCAGCGAAAGAUCCUGCAUUUUAUACUUUCUACACAAAAAAGAUUCUUUUAAACGAGGGUAUUCGUGCGUGGAUGGCAGCUCAGGAUCAGCCUCAUGAAAAUAUUAUAUUCCCUUAGUAGGUUCUACCACGUGGAAACGCUCUUUAAUGGAACUUUCGUUUUAGCUGGUCGUGACCAAGAAACCACCGGCUUUACUUGGUGGGCUGGGAAUGCCAGACUUAUCAAUUUGUCCGGUAAACUACUUGGAGCUCACGUAGCCCAUGCCGGAUUAAUCGUAUUCUGGGCCGGAGCAAUGAACCUAUUUGAAGUGGCCCAUUUCGUACCAGAAAAGCCCAUGUAUGAACAAGGGUUUAUUUUACUUCCACACUUAGCUACUCUAGGUUGGGGAGUAGGGCCAGGGGGGAAGUUCUAGAUACUUUUCCGUACUUUGUAUCUGGCGUACUUCACCUAAUUUCCUCCGCUGUCUUCUCCCUAAGUUUUGCUAAAACCGGCAACGUAAAGUUUGUCAUUUGUUCUUUUUUUUUCAUUUUCUUAGGUAGUUUCCUCAAAGUUCUGUUUAGUCCAUCAUAGAAGCCUAUUCGAUACCAUUGGGAGUGGAAUCUCUUCCUUGGGUGGCAUUACUUUAGCCCAUAGGUUUUCAUAUAUACACAUUAACGACACACUAAGGGAUGACGGGACGAAUGGUGGAAUUAGUAGUUUCAAACGGCAAUAAAAGAGUACCAGAAACAAAAGAAGGAGACCAGGGAAGUGGUAGACAUAGGUAGGUUACAUUUAGACAGGAAAGUGAAGUGCAGUAGUAGUUUACGGGCAAGGAACAUCGGAGAGCUAGAACAGUAGGCGGCCAAGCAGAAGGAAAGUCUCAUCUGUCUGAGUAAACGAGAGAAGGAAGAGUAUCAAACUAUCUGAACAACUAUACUAGGCCUAGUAAUCCUAUUUCACGAACGUAUAUUCAUGCAUGGGCUUGCUUUUGAUUAAGUAAAAGAAUAGAAGGAGAAAAGCUAUGAGGGCAAAUAACGAGUGAAAAGAGAAUCCUUUUUAUCGGUGUCGAAAGUCUGCUGAUAGCUAUGAAAAGUGCCUUCCUUCUAUGAGCCAACCAUCUUAACUCCUCUUUUUUACUCAUACUUCUCACUUUUCCCCUCCCGGGCAAAGAGAAAGGGCAAGUAGAUAGCCAGUCAAGGCUUCACACUUAUAGCAAAAGUGGAGUGUACACACCAUCAGCAUGAAGGAAAAGAGCUAACCUUGGGUACAGAGUGCUACUAGUUUUAUCUCUCACUUUACUAUUUGGGAAGAGAAGACUCUUUUAUGGGCAGGAACGACCAUUGUACCCAACCACUUGACUGUUUGAGAUGGAUGGUUUUAUCGGAUGGGCAUUAUUAUCUUGGUUUAACCACCUUUCCUAGUACCUUCGGACACUACAAUAGGUAGAGAAAUUUCCGUCUUUCUUAACCUUUAUUAUCAAUUCCAAGUCGUCGAUUGUUAAGCAUUAACUUCCUGCACCUAACCUCACACCAACUCCUUACAGAUCGGGUCUUUAGGGCUCACAACAACUGGGAGGAUUAUUGAUCGUGGUUAGUUUUCUUGUAUCAAAUGACUUGCCCAAGCUACCUUUCCGACUUGAUGAACUAAUCAUCACAAGCAAGGGAAAGAAAACAAGGCAUAUUUUACCCUAGUUCUAGAGUUCAAGUAGCAUAAACCGGUGCUAGCCCUAUUACUGGCAUUACUUAGUAGCCUAGCUAGCGCCCUUCUGUGCUAUUAAGCAUAUCUUUACCCUUGCAAACCUACUGUACUAAAUGCCUUUCAAGAUGUAUAUUUCUAAACUGACUUAACCUAUUAAGCCCUUCCCCCUAAACUUAAAAAUCCCUAUCCAGAAACCUAUCCAGAUGCCUUUCUUUUGAAACCUAAGACACCGGUGCUUAUACCUAUACUUGCAAACAAACCCAUCCCUUGCUUCUUUACCUAUUAUGUAUAAACCUCUUCCUACCAGGUGCGUCUAAUUUAUCCUGGGUGUCCCCACCAGAAAGUCCACCGUUACCAGAGCCUCGGUACCUAUACCGGAAUCUUAACCAUUACCAUCACCGGUAUCACCUCCAUCUUUACCAGACUCAGUAUAACCAUUACCAUUAUCAUCAUUGUUUCCACCAUCAUCAGCAUUGUCCUCAGAAACGGGAAUAUACUUUUUUAAGUCAGAAUCCUUACAACCUAAAGAAUUCAUACUCUCACAUAAACAUAAAGUUAAGAGCACCGGGAAUUAGCUGAGCAGCUUUCAAGGUGCCUACUAGCAGUUUGUUUAUGCAUUCUCUAUUUCAGUUGCCAGUUUUCCAUGUUUCAUCUAUCUAAAUUAUUCGGGCAUGCUCCAAAAACCAAACCAGGGAACACAUUCAAAAGUAAGAACAUGAACAUAAAAAAAUAAAAAUAACUGAAAUAUUAAUUUGACAAACAACCAAUAAGAGCAAUUGCGCAUCCAGACAUCACGUUUUUCGAUUCGAGUUUUGGCAGGGCAGGCAAUCUGCGAAUUUAUGGAUCCUUAAGCAGUAGAAGAAGGAAAGUCUGCCUUUUCUUCCACCUAUACUACUUUCUUCUUUUGCGGAUUGGAGGUUACCACAGGUUUCUUAGGAGGAUCUAUUUCAAUGAAACCAAUAAAAAUAAGAACUAAAGAUCUAAUCUUUAAGAACUCAACGAUCUUCUAUCGAAAAAGAACCCGAUGGAAUUAUUAGUAUUUGGGAUCUCCUACUCAUCCCACCUCAUCCGGUCUAUUAGGUUCGGGAAGCUCGAUCAACCCUGAAGAAAUAUGUGAAGAACAACAUCUUCAUUUCGAAAAAGGAAUAUUCUUUUUCUUCUCUUUUUAUCUUUCCAAAGAAAACUUCUUUUCUUGCUUGAAAUGACACCAGGAACAGGAGGUGGUUCCACAACUCCAUUCAAUACCUAAGAAAAUCUCUAAUACUGAGAUCAGCCUUUCAGUAGAGGAGCAACCAAUGAGUGCGGACGCAUACACCCUUGAUUAGGACUAGCAAUUAGGAGAUCGUCCUCGAACAAAGAGCUCAACUGCUUUUGAUUUCUUUGGAUCAAAGCACUUCUUUGGCGGAGCACGAAAAUCAGUACGGACACUGGGAUCGACCAUCCACUAUUCUUUAAGGCACCUGAACCAAUUAUGAGAAUGAACUAAUAGCCAAAUGUUUAUCAUAUAUAGAUGGAUUCCUUCCACCAAUGCCAACAUUGAAUUCUAGACGACGUGCUUCAUACUUCAGACAUACUUUACGAAAAAGGGGAAACUCGGUUGAAAUUCUUUCCAGUCGAAGUUUAGUUUUAGAGCCCAAAAACCCUCGAUGAAUCAAUAAAUCCAUCCUGAGAAAGGGCCAUUUCCCUCCGUCUUCCUUUGGGCAACGAAGAGUGCAUUCUCCAUCCAGUAUUUGUUUGAUGGUUCUCUAUGCUUUCUUUCGGCUGGAAAGCUAAGCUAUUCUCAGUGCUCUUACUUCAAGGAUAAAACAAACUAUCUAUUAAAAAAAUCCUUAUCACUACAAGCUCCAAUACCACGGGGUAGCGACAGAAAUGUGAAUUAGUACCCGUAUCUGCUGAUACCUGAAUUGCUUCCACUUUAGAAUCAGCUAGGCGAGAGCCCUGUUGUCCUACUGAAAUGGAUUCUAAUAAAUUCACAAGCACACGGAUAAUGAAGGGAAGCAGAUAGAACCUAUUCAAUCAAAAAACGUAUUCUAACGCCUGUAUUUAGAUAAGAAAAGCGAGGUUUCAAUGGCUUGGAAGGGAAUCUAUCAUCUGUCGGUCUAACGGGGGUUAUAAGAUGGAUAAUCUCACCAAUGCUCUCUGACACAGCAUACCUGCUAUCCAAAGACCCCACCUAUAAUGUCAAGAUAGCUCUGUCAACCAACGUUGUUUUAUAGAUCCAACCUUACCAGAUGGUGUUUCUCUUAUCUUCUCCUGAAUGGGUUACUUAACCCUAGCUAUACAGGUGGGGCACAAGAGACGGUACCAAGAGCUGGAGAAGCACCUGGCCCUGUACCUGUGCUGAUUGAGUUCGAGAGCACCGGUAUUUAUUGCAUUAGGACAGGUCUUGCAUUGCUAGAGCUUUUAGGAAGACGAGUAGCUCUCGAGUACGUUUCUGUUUCAGCCACUCCAAAUGAGCGCGUUUCACCAUGCUCCACCAACUGUUCCAAACUGGCAUCCUUUCCUAAACUCAAUGAACUAAUUGAGAAUUCUUCCCUGCCUGGGUGUGCCCUUAAUGAAUUGAUCCGUUGGCGGCUAUAGCGAGAUCUGGGUCAGAGUCUAUCUCCCCAUCCCUCCGGCGAGGUAGCAAUGAGCUAUCAAACGCCAAUAGAGGACAGAUCCUGUUGUCCGUUUGUUUAAGCACCACAAUCUUUGUUCAUUCCUACAGCAUCUAAAUCAGCACUGGGAGCGGUUCCAGAUGCACUUUCAGGUGAAGUCACAUCAGACGUUUUCGAGGAUGUUCUUGCACAUUGCAGGGGUAUCGAAACCCGUGAAACCGGGGCUACUGCCAUUACAAUCUGAUCGAAGGGAUGGCAUUAGGUAGACAACAACCUCUCUUGAGCGCCGCCUUGAUGGCUUUGUGAAUGAAAUUCGAGUAGAUGUUGUUUCAUCCCGCGUAUGUCUAGAAUCUUGUUAGGAUUCGUCUAUUCCAGGUCAGGAAAGAGCUUCUAUAAACUAUCGUGAUAAGCAUAGCCUUCGCCCUGCAGAGUGCUAUAUCAAUGGUUCACCAGGCUCAAUUCAUUAAUGGCUUAGGGCCGGUCUUCAGUAAGUCAAUCACCAUCGGGUGGAGGGGAAAGCCCUACGUCAAGGUCAAUGGAUUCACCUACCCCAGUCUCAGAACUUUCUAGACUUUCUUACCUGUGUUCUUCUCAACUAAGAGAAGGGCGUGCAUCUACAGCAGUGGUAUUAUCUUCCUUUUUCUUUUUGCAUCUUUGAAUCCUGGUGUGUUGGUUAGUACCGAAGCCUCUUGGCUAGUACAGAGUUGUGGUUUGAUAUAGCUACUAGAGAACCUGGAGGCACUCUCUGAAAAUAAGUAUUCUUCAUAUGACAUGUGAAUAGACAACUCCUGGUAUGCUCAUUUCAUUCCUCUUGGACCUAGAUCUUCACUUUCAAAAGUGCAGAAUUGAUGUAUCAAAGGCAUUUCAAAGGAACAGAGGGUCCAUCUUUGAAGUGAGAGACAAUUGGUUUCAACUGUGUUGUAGGGGUUGUAUUCUUAGACCUGCCAGGCGGGAGGAACCACCGUCCUGGGUAUUGAGCAUGUGAAUCAUGUUAUUUUGUAGGAAUAGAGAUUCUCAGCCAUCAUAUCUUGUUCACCCUUGGCCAUGUCUCCUUCCGAGAAUGAGUUGGUUUGGGGAGAUCAUUAGGUUACUGAGAUCGAAGUAGUGAGGCUGCUUGAGUGCCAUCGAAACCCAUUUGAAAUUGCAAUGACAUAUUGAAGUAGUAGUUCGUUCAGCACCCGAUUAGGUAUCUGGAAAUAGUUCCUUAGCUCUUUUCUAGUUCGUUAAUGACCUCAGCGGUUGAAAUGGAAUUGGAUCCCGGCUUGUUAGUUAAUAGAAUCUAAAUGAGAUUGAAUGGAAAUGUUGGUAAACCGAGGGGUGCAUCAUACUUUUCAAUAGAUGUUGGGGUUCCUAAACCAUAAGGAUACUCUUUUCAUAGAACAAGGCCUGCCAAUCGAUCUCCUAGGCUAUAAUCCAAGGGAUAGCUUAACAUGCAUCUCCUAGAUGGAAGUGUGUGACAAUAACUUUGAGCUCCUGUAGUCUUUGAUCCUUGAUCUGAAGAGGUAGGCAGCUAUGAUAAAGAAGCCAAGGGAUGAAGUGAUUGUGGUUGGCGUGCCACAUGGAAACUAGAUAGGUGGAAGCUAUUUUAGACGACCUUGCGGGUCAUCCUAACAUUGAAAUGAAGCUAUUCGAGCAGACAGUGAAUAAAGCUAUGAAUGGGGGUAGCUUUACGAGGCAUAAUGCCGGUGUGCACUUUUCUUUUCUCAAACUGUGGUUGAUCCUCUCUAAAUCAGAGGUCAACAUUUCUUUGCAAUGAACGUUUAUUAGGUCUGGAAAACCUUGUUAGGUGCACUCGUAGGUGAGCUCAAAGCGAGGAUUCAUGCGUUCUUUCUUCUCAAGAAGACGGAAUGAUUGCUCGGUAUGAUAUAGAUUCUUAGCCAGGGGUUUGGUAGCUUAUGCCCCCUAGUUUGCAACGUAGAGCAGAAAUGGUUGAAACGGCUCCCAUUGUGUGUGGGAAUUCUUUCAAAUGUGCAUGGCCUGGCGACUGACAGGAUGCCCCUGCGAGUGCUAUUCCAUGUGCUGGAAAACCUCUUUGGCACAUCUUUCGCGAUCUAGUUAACAGCACUUUAGUGACUCAUGUCUUCCAUGGCUUAAACCUGCUUAUUAUACUAGAAACAAUGGAAUACCUCAAGUUGGAUAUAGGUGAGGUGGGACUUAAUAAUGCCUUGUCUGGAACAUCUCUUCAAAGCAAGAAUUAGCGUAUAGAAAGGAAGCAGCAUUUCCUUUCAGCUGCUUUUAAAAAGUCCCCGGGGAUAUAGCCCACUUCUCAUUUCUCAACACCAGCUUAUCUUCUCUUUUCUUAAGUAUAAGAGGGAUAGGUACUUAUUCCUGGCCGGCGGUAUCAUUGCUGCUCCCCGCCUAAUGCAGAUCAUUGUGCAAUGCUUAUGUGAAAUCUCAAUCCAAAACGGAUUCGUUUCGUUGGUAGAACCCACGCCGACGUCAAGAUCAGUCUCCUUUCCUUUCAAAAGUGAGCGAGCAGAGCUGAAAAAGAUGGAGUUACCUGGAGAUGAGAUUUCUUUCUACGGAUAUGAAGGAUAGAAAUAUGCUAUUUGCUGCUAUUCCAUCUAUUUGUGCAUCAAGUCCGAAGAAGAUCUCAAUCUAUAAUGAAGAAAUGAUAGUAGCUCGUUGUUUUAUAGGCUUUCUCAUAUUCAGUCGGAAGAGUUUAGGUAAGACUUUCAAAGAAACUCUCGACGGGAGAAUCGAGUCUAUUCAGGAAGCAUUGCAGCAAUUCUUCAAUCCUAACGAAGUAAUUCCGGAGGAAUCCAAUGAACAACAACGAUUACUUAGGAUCAGCUUGCGAAUUUGCAGCACCGUAGUAGAAUCAUUACCAACGGCACGCUGUGCGCCUAAGUGCGAAAAGACAGUGCAAGCUUUGUUAUGCCGAAACCUAAAUGUAAAGUCAGCAACACUUCUAAAUGCCACUUCUUCCCACCGCAUCCGUCUUCAGGACGAUAUAGUCACAGGUUUUCACUUUUCAGUGAGUGAAAGAUUUGUAUCCGGGUCUACGUUCAAAGCUUCUACCAUAGACCUAAUUCGAGAAGGCUUGAUAGUCCUAAGAAAGGUGAGGGUGUCCGAAUGAUCAUUUUACAUCACGAUAUCUUUUUCUUCUGGUUAUGCGUUUUCCUCUUCACUUUUCUUUUUAUUUAUUUUAUGGAAUCGUUCGGGCAGAAACGGGCAAGAAUCUCUUCUGUCGUAGAGGCCUCGUCGAGUGCUUCCGCUACGCCAGGAGAUGAUGAUCAACGAAAAAAGGGGUGGGACGGAGAGACACCGAUGGAAAAGAGGAGUUGAGGUCAGAGCCAUCCACAAGCCACACCCCGCCGAACCCUUUUCCUGAAGCACCAUCUAUUGAUUUCUUAAGGAAACGCAUUAAAACGGUUCUUAGGUCCUGUCAAAAUAAGUGCCCGGCGGAUCGCCUAUUACGCUCUACUUACUCGGAUCUUCACCUUGAAACGGCGAGCGCGGAGAAACGGAUCAAAAUCGCCCAGGUCCUCGCGGAUAUGUCCAAGCGAGGCCAAUAUUUUAGGAGUAACAAAAGGGAGCAGCCCCAUACCGACUUGAUUAUUCAAAUCUGCGAUUGGGAGCGGGAUCACCUACGAAAAAGAAAUUCACUGGUGUAGGUUUCUUUGCAGAAACCGAGGCCCCUACUUUCCUUCUAAGGGUAAGUCGGGGGAAAGAAGAGCGGGAACGAGGGCUUCUUUCACUGUUUCCCUAAGUUCAAAAGUGAAUGUGGAAACGCUGUCUAUGGUCUGGUUAUAGCAUCCCCUUUCUCAAUUCCUUUCUGGUCAAUAAGGAUGGUUAUAGCCAGCUUAGAAGGGAAUUCUAAAUGUAAGAAGUUGCUGGAUGGUUUGCUCCAAUGAAGAGGUACACCUAGGUAGGAGGGAGGGAACUUUCCCACUUUGCAGACGAGUAGUUCUGCCGCUCCGCGUUGGAUAGGAAAGGGUUGGAGAAGGUUCAUUUAUCAGGAAUCUACUUGUUGCAUAAUGCACAUGCCACAAACGAUAAAGUGGAAGCACACUCAGAUGAAGAGGAUGGUGAAUUGAUCAAUAAUCCCAUGUCUUUUUUUGCUGAGAAAUCUUGGAUCAAGACAUACAAGGCAGCAUUGGUCAAACAUAGGACUACCUAGGCUAGGUCAUUCAUUGCUUGGUCCGCUAUAUUCGUUUUGUCUUCUAGUUCUCCACAGGGACUUCCUACUACUCCGCCGAAUCUCUCAUCUGAGAAAGUAGGUCACCUGGGUCGGGUAAAGCAGCGUAGAUAAGGCUGGAGUUUAUGAACAAGUUGAUGUCUACUAGGGCAUUGACCGUACAAGCAGGUAAGUAUAGGGCUCGUCUAGGAAUUCGUUUAUGCUUAUAUUUAUAAGCUUUCUUCUCACUAGGUAGGGCGGGCAGUUGGUCUUAUUGCCCUGCAUCAUAUGAGAAGGAGUUCUUCCACGAAAUAGAGGUCGUCUAUGGUCUUUCUGGCAUUGAUGGAUAGUACUGGUCUGUUGUCAACAAAUAGACUGGCUAGGUCACAGUCUGCUAAGUCUACUAGUGGGAUAUGAAUAUGCAUUAGUAGUAGUUAUUGCUGCCGGAUUGGUAUUAACAGUUGGUCAAGUCUAACGUAACGUUUUUUAAGUAGAAGGAUAGGGCAUUAAUUACCUGGGGUCGAUAGGUACACCUUUAUAAUAAAUUAUUAGCACAAAGCUCUCAUCUCACUUUUCAUAGGUAGGCGAAAACUCUAUAGUGAUAGUGUGGUGUAUAUUGGCUUGGAUUCUUUCUAUAGUUAUGGGAAAGGCAUAUCCCCACCCAGUUCUUCUUCGUCUUAAUUAAUAACUCCUUCCUGAACUUCAAAGUACGAUAGAAACUUACUUAUAUCUCGUAGGAAAACUAGAGAAUGAGCCAUCUCCAUCUCGUAGAGAAACUAGAGAGGUGCUGGGCGCAGCUGAAAGGAAAUCCAAGAAGAGUCCAUGAAAGGCUAGCACGAUUAGGAUCCUUUGUAGGGUUUAUCUCGGAAGAGAAGGCUAUGAAGCGAACAUCUCUUCUUUGGGAGAGAGGGGAAGAUCUAUGCAGGACACUUAACCCGUGCCGGAGGACUGCACACAGCUGGUACAACCUCGUGUGGUACAUUUUACAUGUUCUUACAAGUCCGAUGGUACAGUUGACCUAGUAUCGAAUUAUUAUAGAUUCCGUUGGCAGCCAUUGCCCCCCUGCAUGUCGUCUGACACGACCGAAACGAAACUUUACACCCCCUAGCAGCCCCCUGUCGGCAUCGAAAACGGAGGGAAGUGCGCGUGCUGAUGUUUAAUCAUGCGAUGCCAAUGAUGUAAGCGCGGGCCCGCAGGUGCAGACAGGUUCGUCGGGGGCGAGCUUCAGAGGUGGGGGGUACGAUUGUGGAAGAUCGCGUGGAGGCAGGGGUUGGAGAUGUGAUGCAAGGGUGCGGGGAAUUGGGUGGAAGGACAGUCGUUAAUGUGGAGUCAGGACGGGCGUGAGGCAAGAAGUGGAGGGAAGUGGGAUCUAGAUUAGAAGAGAUAAAUACGAUAUUCCUGAUACCCGCGGACGAUCCCUAGCCUAGCUUGGCAAUCCCUUGAAAAUGCAAUGCAUUUUCCCUUGAGAUGAAAUUGCUUUUUCGGUGGCAACUAAAAAAAAACUCUCAAAUCAACUCACGCAUAUUCCCUUGCUUCUGUUAACUACGCAUAUCUCAUGUUUCUAUACUUGCUAGCUAGCAACCUCUUAUCACACAGAAAGCGUGACAUGAAUGCAUACCCCCGUGUAUACAACUCCUUACUAUCUCUAAUAUACCGUAGCUUGUUCGGCGCAUAGACCUAUUAUUAUUAUCGGUCAGGCUUUCCUUUUGGCAGGUGAUUACUAUAUAUAAUAUAGCGGGCUUUCCCUUAUCCGUUCGCUUAGGUAUCUGACUGUGUAGCGUAGUUCGCCGAUUCCCGGGGCCGGCACGGCACAACCGGAUCCCCAUCCUUAGCCAAAGUCCAUACUUUACCCCGUUCCUGAUCCCCAAUGCUAGGGUUGAAUAGUAGCCAGCCAUGAGAUCUAUACUUUAUCCAUUGGUCAAGUAGCAUAAUUGUUUACCAGGUCUUUCUUCUUGGAUAGAUAUGGCCCUACCUUCCUCUUGAGGAAUCCGUUCAUGAUGCCCUGGCUACACUGACUGGACUAUGCUGUGCGCUUUUGAGAAGAUUCACACUACCGGUGAAAGGAAGCGGAUAAGCUUAUCACGAACGGCGCAUCCUAGGACAGAUAAAUAUGUAUCAUCCCUUUUGGAGAUGACUACACUACCGGGGAAAGAAUCCAUAAAAUACUAGUGUGUUCAAUUGGAAGAUCAUAAGUAGGACGGAUAAUAUCCAAAGACACCAGUCCAUCCAAUUCCCUAAACUUCAAUCAAAUCAAGAAGAAACUAAAGAAACCGCGGAAGAAAAGCAAUGGUUGUUCGGGGAUAGGUCCCGCAAUGAAAGUAUUAAUAAAUCUAAAGUAGAUUGGCAAGAAAGAGCAGUUGGUCAUCUCGGAAAGAUAGAUAAAGCUAAAUCUAGGAAAGCAAGCUAGGAAACCCUAGAUAGGAGCAAUCCGUUCCACCACUCCUGAGAAUUUAGGGCAUAAUCACCCGCGGAGCAACUGGGGUACUCAACACUGUAGUAGUACAAUCGGUUGUCUUUCUCUAGCCAAUAACACGGCAAGAGGUGGACGGCAAUGAAGUUGAGGGUAAUGACAACAAACUAAAUCCCAACACUUAAUGCAAACGGCUCUGAAUGGUCUAAAGAAACGAAUUAUUCGACCGAGAUGGGUUUACCUCACUCGUUUGUAGAAACACUUUCGAAAGAACAGACAAGAUCCACCAGAUAAAAAAUUGGUACUCCACGCACGGCUGCUCCGGCGAGCGACGGGGGCACGGGCGCGGUGUUUCUCGCAGUUGCUCGAUGGCUAGGGGAACGGAUAAAUCCCCUUUCGAAAUGACUUGAUUAUCCCUCGACUAGGAAACAAGAGUACUCUUUACCAUAGGAAAGAAGCUAACUCUGAAAAAGAGAAAUGGAAUCAUCGAGAUAGGAGCUAGUUCCUGGAUUGAGAGAGUUCUGCCUAAUGCCUAAAUUGGAUGGUGGAUCUUCAGCUUUAGCGAGUUCACUCGUAGAAAUGUCCGUUUGAUUGCUCCUCGGGUGCUUCCUUCUUUCAAAUCUAGAUUUCCUAGAAUCAUACCUUCGUCCAUUCUUGGCAAGCCUUCUUCUCUGAUGGUAUAGAUGAAGACACCGGAUCCCCAUCCUUAGCCAAACCUUCAAUUCAAGCUAGGGCAACAAAGGUUUCAUCAGAAAGGGAUGGAUGGCCUCCACUCACAGAUCCACUUUCUUUCGGGGCCAUCAAUACAAUAGAAUAGUUCUGUUCUUUAGCCGACGUUUUUCCUUGCCGUCUAUAUCCGAGCGGUUCCCUUUGGCAUAUUUCACUUGCUUUGCUACUACGGUACCCGCAUUCUUGAAAGAAAAAGGGAUGGAUAGUUUCCCUUAGGAGACAGAUGGUGCCCAUUUAUCCAUAGAAUAGGUUCAAGAAGAUGAGACGCAUUGAUGUUAAUGAACUUGAGGUUGAAGUUCUAGUAAGCUUAAGCAUAGGUUUAGGUGCACAAGUGGUAUACCAAAAUACUCGUUUAACUACUCCGCAAUGGGACACCCUUCUCAAGGUGGGUCCCCUUUCGUACGACCUAUUCUCUCUCUCUCUGAAAGUAGCAAUAGAAGAAGGAUAGCUUCAUGAGUUCGUUCUGACUCCUAGUUCGAAAGCUUUUCCUUCUGCUUGGGAACGAUCUUAUCCCGAGUCCUCUGUGGAGUGAAGGAAGUGAUGCCAAUUCUACCGGGUCCGGUACCCACUUAACAACGGAUUCCAUUUCUCUUGACCGAUGGCGUUCUCCCACUGACUUGCUAAGGAAGAGGCUAGUUCGCGUGGACGCUGCCCUACGUGGUGUUGCUCGUUUUUAAUGACUCUGAAAAGAGUUUACUAAUGAAUUCCAAAGGAUUUAGGUAUUUGACUAGCAGUCAUCUUCAUCAGGUCUAGAUAUUGCUGUGAAUAAGUGUUCUUUCGCUUGAACCUAUGGAUUGGCUUAAGCAAGCAUGGUAUCUUUGGACCAGACCUCGAACAUCUGCUUCUAUAGGAGUUCAUGUCUGUCAACAUAACUAGUUUGAUCCCCCUUCCUAAAGUAUACAUACAGCUCUUUUCUAUUCUGAUAAUAAGUAAAGUGUCCCUCCUCCACCAGUCGAUGAGCCUGCCUGAGAAUCUACGCACUAAAGCCAUACUGCAGGAUUUCCCCCCAUCAUUCCAGCUUUAACUGCCUAUUUGGCUUCAGCAGUGGGUUUCCAAAGGCGCUCUUCCCAGAUAAAAACGGUUUUUAUUCUAUCCACAGGGACUUUUGCUCCAACUAGAUUGAGCACGAAAUCCAAGGACCUUGAGUGACCACAAAGCCGAAGGGCGAGAGCAAACGGAUCAAUCACUAGAGACAGAUUUGUUUCUUGAUAACAAAGAUAGCCUGCCUUGACUUGAAUUAAGAUAAAGGAAAGGUAGUACAUUGAUAUCGCUCCGCAUUGAAUUGAGAAAAAGCAUUACCGAAUUGUGGAGGAUCAAUAGACUCUGCCGUCGAUAGACAGAAAGACGCUUCAAUUGCCCAUUUCUCUCCGCUAUUCUUCGCUUAGAAGGGCUUGACUUACUUAACUUACCGCUUUCCCGAAACUAGCUAAAAAAGGGUCAGGUAUACCUGCCUGAUGAGAUAGGGUUUUUUCUAAAGCGGGAGCUGCUGUCGGUAUGGGCAAUUUCUUAAGUUCUUUGAUUGAUUCCGUCCCCGAGUGCUACCAAAGUUCCUCUAAUUCCUCAGCCAGAUAUUUCCCUUGCCAGACUUUCCCGAUAGCGGAAUCGAUAGAUGUUACCACGGAGCGGUACCUAGCAACCUUCAUUCCUGCUUUUCCGUCUUGCCUUUGCUACUUGAGAGAAUGCCUUUGACCGAGCAGCUCUUCCACUCAUUUUAUUAGCAAUAAAACCUCUUCCCUUCAACUCGUACCGAAGGCUAUGUCCCAGUAAGCAUUUCCUCUGUUUCCUUGUUUCCCACCUCUGACCUUCCGCUAUGACAUGACCAGUCCACUAAUAAGUCAGGUAUCUCUGAAAAGUAAGACCGUCCUCUUCCCUUCGUCAAUAGAAGAACUCCAACCAUGCUUUCUUGAAAUAGCAGUUAUUGUCUUCCUAGUCAGCUUUCGACGAGUGACUCUUGGUUGCGGGGCCAGGGGGACCUACUAUCUACUUAACCGCUAGGCAAAGAGGGAGGAGCCAGGAAGCGGGCGUUUAGUGAGGAAGAGACAAAAAAGCAUUUCGUCGAUAAAGAUGAGUGCUUUCGAUCGGCUUGUUGCACUAAAGCUGCGAGGUUCUUUGAUCGAAUCAGCUCUUUGCGUUUACUUUCAUCCCAUCCCACUCUCUUUCUUCUUUUGUUUUAAGAAAAAAAGAAGGCAUUUUUAAAUCCUUCUUAUCCUUCUAUACAAUCCAAUCAUGCAGUCUAGCUCUACUUUACAACGAUAUAUCUAGCUUUUAGUUUUGUUGAACUGCGCUUAUCUCAGGAAAUGAGGAUAACUUAAUGGAGCCCAAACUCAUUUGAAAUAGGUUUUCUAGCCUUUGGCUUAAAUAAAAGAUCCAGCUAACUUGUGAGAUAGAGCUGUCUUCCUGGCUGGAACAGGAUGGUACCUUAUGACUUCAACUAGAAAUGGCUUGCAUGGAUCCAAAAAAAAACUCAAACCAACUAUUCAACAAUUAGUGGGACCUAGAAUGAAACUACCAUUGUCUUCCCAUACUCAUCUACAUCAACCACCGGCUACAGAGGGAGCUAGCCUGGAAAGAAAAGGAAAUGAAUGGAGGGUAUAAGUAUUUCACUGGUAAAAUCCCUUCAUUAAAGACACACUCAAAAAUAGUUUGUUUCAAAGAAAAGGAAAUACCACUGAAGAAGAUCUUACUUUUUUGGCAUUAACUGAAAGCCCAGACACUCUGUUAAAAUGAGUCAUGAUACUAGUAAGCUCUUGGAUAGAAUUCAGAUCACCACCGCUGAAAAAAAAAGAUCAUCUGCAAAGCAUAGAUGGUUGAGUCUGAGCCUCAACCAGCCUUUGUGAAAAAACUAGAUUGCAGAUGAUUUUUAUGCUUAAAAGCCCUAUAUUAGAGUUACGACCGUCCACCAAUAGAAUAUAGACAGCGAAAGAAAGGGACAAUAUAUUGGAAUCUAAAGCUAGGGAGCUUCUAAAUAGCCGGGGAAUUAGCCUGGAUGAUGAUGAAGACAUCUCCCGGGCAGCAGAUCUUAUUUUAUAUGGGAAAAGGCGCGAUCAAGUCAACUAUGCGAUCCGGGCCUUAAACCGUGUAACCUCCAAAACCUGGAAGGACUUCCUGGAUGAAUUAAGAAAGUUGAGUGGGUCGUUUAGUUUAUAUAGAUGAAAUAGAAUAUAUAAAAAGUUUGAUCUAUUCUGUUGAAAUAGAAUACCCUAAAAAAGUUUUCUAAACGUGGGCCACCAUUUGUAUUCCGACGAAAUGCUAUCACCCAGAAAACAGAGAUUGAAAGGAUAGUAGAGGAGCUGUUGCAAAAUGCUGUAAUCAGGCCCAGUACAAGCCCCAAAGCAGCUCUGGUGUUGAAGAAAGAUGGAACCUGGAGAAUGUGUUUCGACUAUCGAAAACUAAAUGCAGCAACUAUGUUUUCCAAAUACCCCAUUCCUAUCAUAGAAGACCGGCACUUUUGGAUGAGGUGUGAACUAAGAUAGAUUUGAGGGCUGGUUAUCACCAAAUAAGAAUGAAAGGAAGAGGAUAUCUACAAAACAGCCUGAAGGACCGGCUUUUUGAAUACAAGGUGAUGCCCCGGCAACCUUUCAACAACUCAUGAAUAGUGUUUUUAAAGAGAUAUGUUGGAAAGGGGUAUUGGUCUUUUUCGAUGACAUUCUAGUGUACAGUUCUACCAUGGUGGAGCAUCUCAAGUUGCUAGAGGAAGUGUUCCGGCAGAACAAACUUUUUGUGGGUGAGCCAAAUUUCAUAAAGGAAAUACAUUAUUUAUGAAAUUGGGGUAUCUACUGAUACAAACAAGGUAGAGGGCAUGACAGCUUGGCCAGAACCAGCCAAUGUCAGAGAACUCCGAGGGUUGCAGGGGUUAUUACAGGAGGUUUGUACCGGGGUAUGGAGCUAUCAGCAGGCCUUUAACUGAGUUGUUAAAGAAAGGUGUGGAGAAGAAGCCAGAAAAGCAUUUCUCAAGCUCAAAAGUGCUAAGGUAUGGUGAUGCCUUUGAACGUUGACUGGGAGAGCGGCUCGAAAGAGUUGGGACAGACUAGAAGCUUUGAAGUUUAUGUUCUUUAAAAAGAUAAUAGCAAUCUUGACUUACAUCCGGUCAAGAUCCCCGUGAAGGAAUGCUGAUUGAACAUCGAGCUGAUAAAGAGGGAGUACCAUACCCAAGAUACUCCAUUAAAGGAAAGGUAUGCUUGUUUGAUUUCUUUGGUCCGAGAACAAACACCACAAACUCUCGCAGUCGAUGAGGAAACGUUAGUAAAACUACAUUUCAGUAAUCCGUCUGGCCUUAACCUCUACGCAAGGAGAUCUUACGUAUAGACCCAUGAUUAGGUAACUACUUCUUCUUUUAUUCGGAGUAUCCAAUGGAAAGUGGGCCUCUAUCUACAGGUCAUGGAUACCUGGGCGCUAGAAAGGUUACCGAACCAGGGUUAAGUGAGGCUGUUCAAACUUCACGGCCUUCACUAUCGGAUGUAUAUGAGUAAAAUCAGACAUCAGUAUCACAACCUAGCGUUAUCCAGAUCUUUCGUUGAUCCAGGAGAUUUUGGGAAGGACUCAGCAUUCUCCCACAAAAGGCCAGGCUCAUAUAAGUCAGGGUGUCAAUUUUUUUUAGGUGACGUAUCUUUCUCUCUGAUGUUCUCCGUGGUCUCAAAGGAUGAUCAGUCGGAUAACGACAUUGGUAAAUAAAAAGAAGAAGUUUACACGCCGGGUGCAUACUUCAGUGCCACUAAUUAGCGACUUUUUUUUGCCCUUUACCUACACCAUGUAGACCGGAGGAUUACACAGAAUUCCAUUGGCGAGUUUCAGACAGCUAGGUUAUUCAAGAAACUUGGAAUACCAACUCCAAUGCUUGGCUUGCUGAAUCAGCAUAUGGAUUACUUCAUUGAAUUUCUCGGCCCGAGCUCUUGUGAUUGGUCCACUUGGCAGGUGGAGUGGAUCCUUAGCAGGUUCAUGUGUUCCUUGUUUACGUAGCUCUUCUGUUGGAUCACGUAGCCCCUCCGUUGGAUUACGUUGCUCUGCCCUUGGAUUACUUGAGUCAUUUCUGGGUUUACUUGGCUGCUCCGCAACAUGUUGGUUACUUGAUCCUUCGCUUUGUUUACUUGGGAGCCCAAUACUUAUUGGUUGGGAAAAUUACCUUCCAAGGAAAAUGAUCCUCCCACUGGACCGAAAAACCCAUAUAUUCCCAUGGGAAUGGGUGGUGCUGAACAAGCAGGCAGGCCCAACGUUGUUUAUCUUUACUGCAAUCCUGGUUAGGUAAAAGGAAUCCCGCAGCAGCGGGUACGUGAUUAGUUACAACCAACGGAAAGACUUAUUGAAAUAAUAGGGAAUUUCCUCAUCCAGUCUACUCCUAGGACUACAUCAUAUGCUCCCAACUCCAUGGCCAACAAAUCAAACUUCAAUCGAUAUCCUUGCAUCUCCCACUGUACACCAGAACACAUCCCAUACAAUCGGCCCGAAGAGCAUCAAUGAGAAGGCCUACUAAAUAGGCAUAGAGAUACAUUAGCCGAGUUUGCUUACAACAACUGCUAUCACUCUAGCAUCGGAAUGGCACCUUUCGAAGCACUCUACGGGAACCUUUGUCGUACCCCGAUUUGUUGGGGUUGGCACGUACCGACCGACGGGGCCACAGAAGAUGAAGGAGAGUGCCGAUAAGAUUCCACUUAUUCUAGAUUAAAAGCAGUUCAGGACCAGGUACGCCGACCACGAUAUUUGGAGUUUGCAGUAGGUGAUCAUGCUUGACUUCGGCUUGAACCUACAAAGGGUGUGAUGCGUUUUUGAGUGAAGGAUUAGGUAUAGCUGACCGAUACAUCGGACCUUUCUUGGCCCAUAUCCCCCUAGCCCUUACUCCCUUGUUUCGGUGGUUGGUCUCUACCUUUUUCUGUCUCUUGGCUAGUUUGUCUUCCUCUUCUUUUUGAGGGUAACGUAGUAAAAAUCCUUUAUUUCAUGGGAUUUCCCUUUUCUUUCCAAAUGAAUUUAUGCUUAGUCUAAAAUUGGUAAAUACCAAAUAAUAUAUAUAUAUAUAUUAUUUGAAAUAUGUACCAGUUUCCUGAAACUAACAAAUAGAGUUAUAGCUUUGAUUGACUUACUAGCUUACGGGAACGCUUUGAAUCUCAACUUACUUUGAACGAGUGCUUCCCACAUAGAUUGCUGGAAAGAGGAGUGAGCCGGGGCAGAACUUGAAGCACGGGAGAAGGAAAAAGAAGUAUACAAGGGGUGCGUAGUUGGUAUAUGUACGGUAUAGACCUUUCUUUGUGAAUAGCUAGUUCAGUUACAAGGGUGUAUACAAAGGUCUGCUUAUAGGUUGAAAAAGCCUAUAGAGAUAGCCUAGAUAGCCAAGAAGAUAUACGUAUUUCAUAGAGCUAGCUAAUAAAGCUUUUGUUAACUUCAAAUAGGCUAUUGAAUGCAACGGCAAAUAAAGAAAAAGAAAGUGCCAGAGCUAAGAGCUAAUAGAUUCCCAGUCUAUGCAUGGAUAAAGGAAUGAUAAGAGCUAUGAGCAGUUUAUUAAACUACACUACGGCUAAUAUAUAUAAGGACAAAUCAACUAGAAAAAACCGUUGCCAAAGAAACCAUUUGUUUAAGCUUAUUCGUUCGCGCUAGGCUAAAAAACUAGAUAGAAGAACUAGAGGCCGCCAAGGUCUUCAACCAUUAGCAGGUAGGAUCCUUUGCUUACUACUUGAAGCAGAAACCUAGAAGAGGAAUUCUUUCUAUUCCAAAAUCCAUCUUCUUUCCGGUCCGCUUCAUUCAUUCCCUUACUAAUAAAUCCAAUUCAUCGCUAAUGGCGAAACCAGCCUGUAUGUACACCGCACAACUAACCGUUGCUUGGUAGGUUCGAUCAGCUCUUCUCACCUUUCCGUCGACAUCUACUAAGACUUCAGCUUAAGUGGGUUCAGCCGCCCCAAAUCUGACUCGAUCCAGGGUUAUAUAUCAUAAAGGGCUUCGACAAGGGGUUUGAUUCGUUCUUUGAGCAAAAAGAUAAGGUCGGAAUACCGGAGUUCUUUCUUUGCUUCCAAGAACAUAGAUUCCUUCUUCAACCCAGGUCAUGACCGAGGGCGGGUAUCUCACUCGCAUAUCUAGAGCCCAGCAUCUCUCCUGAACGACACCUUCUGCAGACUCUACUGGUGGUAUUUCCCGAGGCGAGGGUAAAUAUGUGCAUUCAUAUCGGUCAGGAAACGACAAUGACUCUUCUUCUUUCCGGGAAGCUAUGGGCACCUCACAAUUCUUAUACGACAUUAGUGGAAGCGAACAUUCGUAGCAUUCAUUGUCACCGAUCAUUGACAAAAGAAGAAAAAGAAGCCGUACGACAACUUAAGGAAUCUUUAGAUUUGGCGGCUAUAGACUCAAAGGGCACAGACAGGCCGCUGGUACUUUUUUUUAGCUAACUAAAGUCCAACUUCCUUUGCCGAAAUAGGAUGAAAUGGAUCAGCCGAUUCAACUUAGCAUUACCCGACUCGUAACUUCAAGCACAACCAUCCAUCUCAAUCCAAAAUCUCCGAUCGUCUGUGAUCCAAACCCAAACUCUCCUCCGGUUUUGGAUAUAUAGACAGUGCCUGCUCUCAAACCAACCAAGACAGCAGCAAGUUCCUAUCGAGAACAAGACGACAGAUCAAUAUGACCAAUUUCUAUAAUAUCUCGGGUGAAUACGUGAAAAAGUGUUGCUUAGCUUAGUGAAAUGGAAUAAGGAAGAGAAAGUGUAGUGUGAUAAGGGAAGAUGCAAGUCAAUUUUGAGGUUUUCAAGCAAGGGCUGAGAUAGAUAUACAAACCAGAAGAAUUCACAUCAGAACCCUUUCCUGCUUCCCCUUUUUACCCAUCGGACUCGACUCACAUUUUGAUCUCCUACGCUUGCUUUCACAGUCCCCCUACGAGCAGCCCGGAAUCAAUGAAGGAGUUCAUUCAGCACCGAGCCGAGCGAGCGUAGAUUCAAUAUGUUGAUUGUACCGAACGAAGGAUUUGCCUUAUCACGAAAGCCACAUUCGUUUCGUCUGAGGAAGUCACACGUCAUGUUCCCUAUAAAUAAGGAGAUUCAUUCUUUUUUUUCAGAAAUCCCCUCUUCUUCCUCCUCAAGCCCCUAUCACAAGACCAAGCGGAUCUCAUCCUGCAGAAGACUCAGAGCGGAUCUAUCUAAUGGCAUGGCUGGCUGCCAGAUGUGAUCUAUUCUCGUGUCACAUCGCUUUCUUUCUUCUCCCUCCAUUUUCUUCACUACUACCGCUUCUACACAUAAAUCAAAGAAGCAUUGUGGAAUAGUGGCAUUUCGUUAAUGGCUAAAAUGUUCUUAGUGAAAGGGUUGCCGCAAAACCGGCAAACUCAGAGCGGUCUCUGAAAGUGAAUAGGAGCAUAGCGGCAUCAUCCAAGCCAAACACGUCUCCUCAGUCAAGGGUCUUCUCGCGCAAAUAAGAUCAAAAACAUAACAACUGAUUUCGCUUAAUGCAUGUCACCCGCCCGCUCUCAAUACAGCAAGUGACUCUCUCUCACAAGACAGAGAAAGAUUACCGAUUCAUCCAAUCCAAUCCAAUUUGAUCAGAAGUGAGUUCAUUGUUGUUGUAUAGCGAAACCUUCCCUUGACAAAACCAUUCUCAGCUAAUAGAAGCCGAGCUAUCUAUCCAGAUCAGGGUUGAACGAAGUGAAUGGAAAAGCCAAAGAAAACAUAAAUCCAUUGCAAUUAGAAACCAGUGACUCUACAGCCAGGGCUCGAUGGCGAUGUAAGAUAGAAAGAAUGGGGAGUUAGGGCUUCGGUUUCCUCUGUAGCCAGUUUCAAUUCCAAAUCAUUUGCCGACAUGCGGACUCACUUCUCUUUUAUGGGAUGACUUUUAUUAUCCAAGUUGUCUAUUUACGUGGGUGAAUCAAGUACAACAAGUCAGGUCAGAGCUUGUGGUAGAAGAUUGGGCUCUGCUACACAGAUCCACUCAACUAGGAAAGAAGUACGCAUUGCUGACUGACUGUUUGAACGAUCCUAGUUACUAGUAGCUAAUCAAGUCAGAGUAGGGUGGCCGAGAAGCUUCUUGCCGGUGCCCCCAAAAGCAAAGCACAGACUCUACUCACCCACGCGUUUUCCACCUACGGAGGGAGAAAUCAUCGAAAUAUCCUCAUCCCCUGAAAGGGAACCCGAAAACAGGACGAGAGUGGAUAGGGUGACUAAGGAGGCCGUAAAAAUUAGUAGUGCAUUUUUGAAAGAUAAGAUUACAAAAAGGCGAGAGCAGCAUAAUUGUUAGUUAGGGGUAAGAGGGGACGGGCCCGUAUAGAAAGUCAAUCCUUCUUUUUCCGAUAUGCCGCUCCGCAAGCAAGGAGUGCCACGCACGAGCGGAGCGAAAACUAAGCAAGGGGAAUUCCGUCAUUCCAUGGAAAGCAUGCGAAAUCCUUUGAUUGUUUAUAGAAUCAAAAUAACUAUAUAGUCUUUCUUGUUCCACUUGCAAGGCAAGGAAAAUAAAAUGUCAGUUUCGUUAUUACAACCUUAUUUUUUUAUGUCAAAGACAAAAAGCUACGCGCAAAUUCUCAUUGGAUCUCGGUUGUUCUUAACAGCGAUGGCUAUUCAUUUAAGUCUUCGGGUAGCACCACCAGAUCUUCAACAAGGUGGAAAUUCUCGUAUUUCGUAUGUACAUGUUCCUGCGGCUCGGAUGAGUAUAGUUAUUUAUAUCGCAACAGCUAUAAACAGUUCCUUGUUCCCAUUAACAAAACAUCCCCUUUUUCUUCGCUCUUCCGGAACCGGUACAGAAAUUGGUGCUUUUUCUACUUUGUUUACGUUAGUGACUGGGGGGUUUUGGGGAAGGCCUAUGUGGGGUACCUUUCGGGUGUGGGAUGCUCGUUUAACUUCUGUAUUCAUCUUGUUCCUUAUUUACCUGGGUGCACUGCGUUUUCAAAAGCUUCCUGUCGAACCGGCUCCUAUUUCAAUCCGUGCUGGACCAAUCGAUAUACCAAUAAUAAAGUCUCCAGUCAACUGGUGGAAUACAUCGCAUCAACCUGGGAGCAUUAGCCGAUCUGGUACAUCAAUACAUGUUCCUAUGCCCAUUCCAAUCUUGUCUAACUUUGCUAACUUUCCCUUCUCUACCCGUAUCUUGUUCGUUCUGGAAACACGUCUUCCUAUUCCAUCUUUUCCCGAAUCUCCCUUAACGGAAGAAAUAGAAGCUCGAGAAGGAAUACCACUAAAAACCUAGUUCGCUCUCAAAUAAAAACCUAGUUCACUCGCUAAAGCAUCCAUGGCUGAAUGGUGAAAGCGCCCACCAACCUAGAAAGGCAAAAUGGGUCAAAAAGUAGGUUCGAUUCCUGCCGGAUGCACUGCCUCUUAAAGACAGAAACAGAGGAGGGAAAGAAGGUAGUAUAGGGAACUUGCUUUUGGAUUCUUAUCGAAAGUGAAUCCCUCUAACACUUCUGUUAGUGUUUUAUGAGAAAAUCUUUUAUAGACACAACAAGUGUGAAAAUCCUUAGUCACUAGGCAAGAAAGCUCGAUGGGAACAAAAAGGAUACAAUUAGUUCAGAAUCAAAAAAAUGUACAAUUUCAAAGGAAAGAAGGAAUGGCAAGUUUCCCUCCAUUGAACAUCAAUCAAUCUAGAAAUAGGUAAAGGAAGGCGUAUCACAGGGGUAUUUUUCUUUUUUCUAUUCACUUCCGUGGGGUUCUAAAUUGAAAACAUGAACACAAACGAAAUCGUAUUGAAAUUACAUAAAAAAAGAAAAGGGAGGAGUAGCUCUUGGUUUAAAGAAAAGGGAGGAGAUGGAUCGAAUUCAGUCUUUUUCCUUUCUUUGAUGAUCUUCAACACAUCUAUUUGAAUUCCCUGCGAGUGAAGGAUUUCUCGUAUGGAGAAAAACCUCUUGAGCGCUAUCUGAUCUUAUUUUUGUAUUUCAAAUAUGGGACCUGCCUUUUUAAUGGGACAUCCCGGCAAUAGGCCUACUCAUGCAUGUGGCCAAGUACUCGACCAAGCCUCAGAGCGAAGGGAUGAACGAAUUCUCGAGGUCUGGUUCAUUGAGGUCAGCAUCACAUGAAACCUUUAGCACUUCCGUUCGAUAUUGGAUGGAGUAUGGCUGGAAGGUCAGCCUAGCUAGUCUUGGUACCUACCGCUAUUGAACUUCGGUACCUAUAUUCCUGAAACAAGACAGACCUUCAUGAAGACCUUCUAUUUUGGAAUAAGAUCGGACAUUUCCACAUUGAGGUGAAAUUACAUAUGAGGAAAAUAAUCCUGGACUACGAAAGUUGCCCUUGUGUGGUAGAACCAGGUCUUCCACCGGGCGGUCAGCCAAGUACUGAAGCCCCUAUCUUGAUAUAGAAUAGAAGUGAGUUCACACUAAAAAUAGAAGAAGCCCUAUGAUUUUUUAGCCCUGCUAUAAAUCACUUCGGUAAAGGGAUCGAAAGAUUAUGGUCUGAAAUAGAGAUUUGAGAGUCCCUCGUGUGAGUACGUGCUGAAGAGCAAGGAGUGAAAGUGCGUUCAUCUUUCUUUCUGCUAGUUGUUUCCUGCUAAUAGUGAUUAGUGAGUGCCCCAUACAUAGCCAAUGUCCGCCCGUGUUCACAUCCAGUCUUCUCUGUACACUAGUGCAGCUUCCAGCUCUAUGCUAUGUAUGGUAGUCGUUUGACUCGGGAAUCCCUGAUAAAAGCUUUUAGUCCGUGCCUGGCAGUUUCAGCCGU